AUGCUUAGUCUUCGAAUGUUGCACUGGGUUGUGACAAAUCCUAAUUGCGCUUUUAGAGUCGCAAUAUAGUGGGAUUUUCUUCAUGUUUAGCCCGUAAUCCCUGAGUUGACUUUGUAUCCAUACGACUUGAGAUGUGCAGGAGGCUGCAGCAUUGUAUUCAGCUUCUGCAGUGGACAGCGAAACACAGGUUUGUUUCUUCGAUUGCCAACUGACUAAUUUACCAUCUAGAAAUUGACAUCCUCCAAUGGUGUUUUUACGAUCUAAUCCACAGCCACCCAAAUCAGCAUCUGAGAAUGCUUGAACAAAGAAUCCUUAGUUGGCUGGAUACCACAGACCGAGAGAGGAGGUUCGCUUCAGAUAGCGAAAGAUGUUUUUCACGGCUUGAAGAUGAGGUUCGCGUGGGUUGGCUUGAAAUCGUGCACAGUAACAGAUUGAGAACAUGAUGUCAGGUCUACUGGCCAUAAGAUACAUCAGAGACCCAAUCAUUUGUCAAUAGAGUUGUUGGAUUAGUGUCUAAGUCCAUAACUAUUUUGGUAUGUACUGGACCCGAUGGUGCAUGGUCCUUUUGGGUUGCCUUCACCAAAGCAACUUGAUAGGAUGAAUUAUGGAGAAAAAGGAUUAAAUAUGAUUUAUUAAUAUAUUAUAAGAAUAAUAUAUUAAAGGAGAAAUCAUAUUGUUUAAUUAAUAUUAGUCAAGAAUUAAUAAGAAUUAAGUUUGUGGCUAAAAGACAUUAAUUAAACUUAAGGGACUUGAACUGUUAAUUGUAUAAUAGUUGAAUAUUGAGCUAAUGCACUCCAUAUUAAAGGGGUGGACGAAUUCUAUGGGGAAACCCAUUAGAAAUUGUCCAAAGGCCUUUAAGAAAGGGGUUCAUGGGUUGCUUAGGGCCUAAGCAUCCAAAUUAGGGUUUCCUUGUUAGAUAACCCUAAUAGCCUCACUAUUUAAGGAACCCUUAAGCCCCAAAAACGUGGUGAACUAAUUGGUUAGGGUUUCCACACGUUUUGGGCAGCCUCCUUCUCUUCUCUUCUUCAUCCUCUUGCUCUUGGUGUUUGUGAGCCAUUAGAGGAGUGACAUUUGUGACUCUAAGCUUUCUAAAGUCAAUACAAGAAGGAUUUGAGAUUGUUAUUGCUACAUAACAAUCAAGGUAUGAUCUAAACCCUAAUUCAUAUGUUAUAUUGAUUAUCAUAUAUUAGAUCUAGGGUUUAAAGUCUUGGAUGAAUUGCAUGUACAAUAGAGAAACCUAGAUCCAAGCAUUAGGGUUUGUAUGAGCACAUAGGAUGUUCUUAUGGCUAAAACCCAUCAGUGGUAUCAGAGCCUUGAUUGGUUUCUAUUGUAUUGAUGCCUUGUAUGUUUGUUCAAGUUGCAAAAUCGAUUUUUGGGCCACCUGUCUGAUGAACUCGGCGAGUUCCAAUGUGGACUCAGCGAGUAGCUCCAACUCGGCGAGCCCAUAGAGGAACUUGGCAAGUUCGAGCUUCAGAAGGAGGUAGUUUUGGGAUUUUUACCUAUUUUGACUUAGGAUAAUUGUCAUAAUUGUUUAAAAUUAAUAAAAUUCGAAUUUUAUUGAUUUCUUAUGAUUAUCCUUGUCAAAAUAAAAGAUUUUGGUCAUCUAAUUAGAUAAUUGUUACCUUAUUUGAUAAAUGUUAAGUUAUGGAAAUUAUUUGAUCAUUAUCUUGCAAGAAUUUGAACUAGAUCUAAUUAGAUAACCACCAAUUAUAGUUAAUUGCCUUAUUUGAAUUAUGUGAUCUAGAAUAUUCUUGACAAAGUUUGGAAAAGUUUCAAAUUAAUCCCUUUAGGUUUUAUAGUUUAAAUUAGAACUUGAAAGUUUUGGUUUUGAAAUUUAAAUAAGUUAAACCCUAAUGUUUUGAAAUGUUUCAAAACUUGCCCUCAAGUUUUGGAAUUUAAAAGUUGAUUAAAAGUUUAAUUUAGAAAUGUUAAAUUCUAAAACCCUAGUAUAGUUUUGAAAAGUUCAAAUCACACCCUUAUGGUUUUAUUAAUUAAUUAAAGUGUAUAAUUAAAAGAGAUUUAAUAAAUCCAUAAAGUUUUGGUUUACAAUUUAAUUAAAUUAAAAGUAUAAUUAUUAAAUUUGACCACCUAGUAUUUUAAAAGUGUAAAAUACACCCUAUACUAUAUAUAACAUUAAAAGUCUAACAUUAUAUAUAUGUAUGAGUAAAAGUCAGUCUUACCGUUAGUAGGCCUCAUUCACGAAGCUGGUCUAUAAGGGGUGUUUAAGGAAAUUGCCUAUAAAAUGGCGAUUGAAUGGGUAUCCACUCUUACCCACCGCACUCUUGACUAGUGGAGGGUCGUUAGCCGAACGGGUAGGAUAGGACAGAAACCUUCCAUUAUAAGUAUAAUGAAGUACAAAAGUAACUAAAUGUUUUACAAAUUCCCAAUCUUAGUUACUUUAGGCAAAAGUGAAUUGAUGCAAUUCCAUGAAAUUACACUUUGUGCCCUUGCGAAGACGUUAGUGGAGCGUGUGUGGUUAACCGGCACACUAAAUGGUUCUAAGCAAAGGUAGCAAAGGGUGACUCAAUGUUUGUCAUAGUUCGGUGGAGCGUGUGUGGUUUACCGGCACAUCGAAUAGGUGACUGUAACAUGUGAGGGCACCAUGUAAGUUUGCAUGGUUAUUCACACCCGCUUUGUGAUCCUCGGCAUCCCAGUCACAAACAAGAGGGGCAUAUCGAGAUUUAAACAUGCCAUUGAAAGGUUCAAUGAAUCUCAAAGGAUCUAGGAGUUUUCAUAGAUUUAAAACUUAAAUUUCUUUUUCGUUUUUCAUGGUGGAAAUUAGUGAAUCGUCAUUCACUUACCUUCAAAUAUUCUGCAACUAGAUUACGGCAUCCCUUUUCUAGGUUGUAGCGUAUUGUGUUGGGUCCUAGCCUUGGAAUUUCAUUUGGGUGAUCUACCAAGGACUCAAUCUAUCAACUAACUUGAAUUCGUUUUUCUCCCGUUUUGUAGAUGUCAAAGUUCGACAACUAUGGUCUUCUCAAAUCCCGUGGAACAAGCAUUCCACAUGAAGAUGAUAUUCCACGAUUCGAUCGAGGAACAAGAAAUCAUGCUUCACUUCCUCCACCUCCUCCAAUUAUUCUCCCUAACCCACAAGUUCAAAGGCUUGAAAAGUUCAAGAUCACUCAAGCCCUUUUGGCAAGUAAACAUAAAGAAGGAAAGUCGGUGUGUGCACACGUCCUAGGGAUGAAGUCACACAUUGAUAGGUUAAGAAUGUUGGGAUCCGUUGUCUGUGAGGAAAUGGCUGUUGAUUGGGUUCUUCAGUCACUUCCUAACUCAUAUAGUGAGUUCGUAAGAGAGUACUAUAUGAUGAACUACGACGUGACCCUUAUAGAUCUCACCUAUAUGCUUAUUGCUGCUGAAUCAGCAAUGGUUUGGCGCAAUAGAAAAGCAAAGUUGAUUGGUGAAUCUGCCUUCAAGACCUCUAUGGAUAUAGACAAUGGCAACGAAAGACAUGCUAUGAUCGAAAAGUUUGAUCAUAAGAGAAAGGCAAUGUCUGAAGUAGUUCCAUGUCAUGUUCCAAAAGAGUCAAUUUGCUUUUAUUGCCAAGAGAAAGGGCAUUGGAGACGAAGCUGCCCCAUUUACCUAAGAGAUCUAAGAGAUGGGAGAGUCGAAACGUAUGGCUCUAAUAUAGGUAAAAUCCAUUAACUAACUCUUUUAAGCUUCUAUUCUAGAUUCUUAAUACAUAAUGUGAUAAGAUUACAAUUGAUGUUUUGUAGGAUCGAAGAAAAGAAAGGAAGCUUAAGGGAAGAAGUGAGCAGAAUCUAACCGUGAAGGAAUGGAUUUCGAUCGCAUUUCUCGAAGAUUAGAUUCUUGAGCUACUACUUAGAGUUAGAAUUAGAUUGCUAAGAAAGAUGUAUUAGCAUAGUUUUUCAAUGAAUUGCAUUGUAAGGACAAAUUUUUUCCGCAAUAAAAUAAAUUUUGAUUUUAUAUUAUUUAUUUAUCCUUGCAAUGGCGUAUAUGAAAAAUUGAUGUUUGAAUGUUUCUAUUAUUAGCAAUAAUGGAUUUGGUUCUUAUUAUGUUAUUUAUGGAAAGUCGAGAAUUUACCAAAUAGGGAGAGUUUCUCAUCGCCCAAGUUUCAAUUGGACAGAAACUUGGAAUCAUGCAACUUGGUUGCACGAUGAAUGAGAAAUUUCAUAUUUGGAAAUUAGACUAAUUCAUUGACAAAGUGUCAAGUGAAGGACUAGGAGAUCGAGUACACAAAGUUGCGUGUUGAUCAAGUCCACCAUAAGAGUAACAAAGAUAUUCGUCAUGAUUUACUAAAGGUUUAGUAAAUAUGAUUAUACUUACAAGAUUAAGUGUAAUUCUGAAUUGAUUGAAAAAGUUUAAAUCAAUAGCAGAACGAAUAAGAAGAAUCAAGUAGGCAGAAAGAUAAAAGUUUCUCCAUUCUAAGAAGAAGGGAGAGUACCUUUUAUGCUUUAUGAUAGGUCUUAAUGAUUAAGAACCAUAUCUCAAUUGAUCCUCUAAGUGAGUCUUAGUACAAUUGUAUGUCUAAGAAGAGGAAUCAAGAAUUGAAGAAAUGGUUAAAUCAAGAAGUCAAUCAUACUUCGUUCCAAAACAAGUCUUAGAGUUAAGAUUGUGACAUUGAGUGAAAAGUAUUAAGAAGGUUUAUAACAUUCAUCAAAUGUGGAAAGUUGUGAUGUCUUGGAUAAGACAAAGACCAACUAGGACCAAUUUAUGAAGUGUUUUGAUAAAAGCUACACUAACUCUUGAAUAUUUGUUUGUCAAGAAAUGUUUAUUGACAAGAGAAUCUUAUAUGUCAAGGAGUCAGUGGGAGUCUUAAUGGUCUUGAAAGGUUUCAAGAACAAAUCAAAUAAACCUUAUCGAUCAUCACUAGCACACGAGUUGAGGUUUACAACCUAUCGUGUUGACAUUAUUUUGUUUCUGUGCCAAUCCAAUCGAGUUAAUUAUGCAUGUGAGUUCUAUGAGUUCUCAUUUGAAUGCAUAAAAGGCAAGGACCUUGAUCAAUGGAAAGUACAUUGAUAGGAAAAGGUGAGCUGCUUAACUACUUGGAAGACAUGGUGGGCAGCUGUGCUACCAUAAGGCAAGAAAUCAAGAUUAAGAAAGUUCGGUCCAUAUGAGUUUGAAUUUGUCGUAAACUUUGGUUUUGACAAAUUCACAUGGAUAGGAACACAUACACCAUUAAAAUCUAAGUGUCAUAAGAUUCCCUCCUUCAUGAAAAUGACUGUGAGGAAAUGCUUUCACUAAGAGAGAUUUUAAGAAGAUAGUGAUUGUGAAAUUGUAUUCUCGAAUUCGAUUAUGGUUACGGUAUCCCUUUCCAUAAUUUGAAUUGUGAGGUUUGGCAAUUAGUCUUAAUUGUUUAGACACACAUAUGAACUAUCUAAGGCAAAGGUGUAUAAGUUCAAGAAGCCUUGAUAAAAGAUUAUCAAAGCACUAAGUAUUAGAAACAUGAACUUAAGAAAUUCAAUAAGCAUUGUUUUUCUGAAAGUUAAGAUGUUUAUGAAUACAUGUCGAAGCUAGUGGGAGCAUAAGUGUUAUGUUUUAUAAUAAUCAUCAUGAUAGUGGGAGCAUAAAUGUUAUGAUUGUAUGAUUAUUAAGGCAAGUAUUGCAAGUUAGCAAUAUUAAUUAUAGAAAACAAGAGUUAUACUUUGCAAAGUCGUAAGGGUUGAAUAGUUGUUUUGCUAUAAUUAAGGGAGAGAAUAUUAUGCUUCAUUUCAAAUCUAAAGGCUUAGGUUGUGGAAUGUUAAUAAAUUUAGUCAAGGAUACAUAGUGUGUUCUUAAAAUUUCGAUUAUGAUUACGACAUUCCUCUUCACAAUUCGAAUUUUGAGAACAUAGCAAAUAAAACAUUAUGCGUCGUGUCCCAUACGCUUCGGGUAUAGGAUCGAUUGCAAAUGCUUUAAUGUUUGACCAUUCUAAAAUUUUCCAAAUGUCGAGCGCAUUUAGAGGGAAAAGGGACUAGAAUUGGUUUUGACUAAAAUAAUUAAACAACUAUCAAAGGACAAUCCAAAGUUUGACGAGGAUUGGUCGCUUGUGAGUAGUUGGAAGUAUAGUAUUGGAAAAUAUGGAAAUGUUUCCAUAUUGGAUGGACCAUAUCGACAUUAUUAUGAAUAGAUAAGAUUCUAUUAAGAAUGAGUUGUCAUAUGGAAAAUAUGGAAACGUGUCCAUAUUGGGAAUUGAAUAUUGAAAAUCUAUGUCUAGAUUAGAAACUUUUAUGCAAAAGGAUGUUCAAAGGAAUGUACUUUGAGUGAGAGACAUCAUAUCUAAGGAAUUGUCUUGUAACAAUCUCCGAUAGAGGACUUUGUAAUAUCAUUGGCAAUAGUCUUUGUGACUUUGGUGCAGUGACAUUACGAAAGGAUCGUUGCAUAGAAUGUUAGAAUCUAGCAUAUUCUAUAAGUAGCAAGAAUUUGAUAUUCUUUCACUUAUGGAAAAAGGAUUUGGAGUUGUGAAAUGAGAAUGAUUGGAAAUGUGUUCAAUGUGAUCUAUUUCACAAAGUAAGAACCAUAGGUAAACAUUGUGUGCAUGCUAGGAGCAUGGGACAAGUGUUGUAAUUCAAGUAAGAAGUUGAUUACCCGAAACGACAAAUAAUGAGUAAUCAAUAUGGUGAUAAAUAAAAGGUGUUUUAUUUAUACUCAAAGGUUUGAGGCCAUAUGGGAUUAGUAUUAUUCUUGUGUUUCACAUUUGCAUGUUUUGACUUCCAGAAUAAUUGAGUUUAUUAAGAAUAAUCGAAUUAUUCAAACGGGCCACAGUCGUUCAUAUGUUGGAAGUAGAUAUGAAUGAAGACUGUCGUGAAUUGGUGUGUGGAUUGUCUAAAAAAGUAUUAGACAUAAGCAAAUGUUUGCUGCAACGUUCAUGAGUGCUUAUGAAUAUGAUUUGAGCAUUGGAUUAAACCCACGCUCACUUGGAUCACUCCAUGAAUUGUAUCACGAGUGAUUGGUGAGACGAUAACAUCUUAUAUUCUUGAAACCGAGAUGUGUGAGUUGUAUCUUGCAAAUCGGUUGCACAUUGAUAAUAUGUAAACGCACUAGUAACUUGGUGUUAUAAAACAUAUUGUUGUGUGUGAUUCGGUGAGUGAGUGCAAGCAAGCAUUGUAUCAAAGUUUAUCCGUUCCUUUUAUCCAAAGUAGGAUAAAAGCGAUAUCUUUGGGCCCCUCGAUGAUUUAGUGAUGACAAACGUAAAUGCUCGGCCGGGCUAGGGCUAAUUUGAUUUGUUCAAUUAGUCAGUCGUCAUAAAUCGGAAAUCGAGAUAUAGUACAAAGAGAAUGAUUUGAAAUCAUAUCUCAUAUGAUAUCUAGAAUGGAGGAAUAUAUGAUCCCUUAUCUAAGGACACGCGUAUUUGAUAAGAUCAGAGUUGACAGCGGCUUUGGAAAGCUACGAUUGCAGAUCAGGAUCUGAAGUCAUACGCAUAAUAGUUAUUAGACUUAUCCAAGUGGGAGACUGUUGGAUUAGUGUCUAAGUCCAUAACUAUUUUGGUAUGUACUUGACCCGAUGGUGCAUGGUCCUUUUGGGUUGCCUUCACCAAAGCAACUUGAUAGGAUGAAUUAUGGAGAGAAAGGAUUAAAUAUGAUUUAUUAAUAUAUUAUAAGAAUAAUAUAUUAAAGGAGAAAUCAUAUUGUUUAAUUAAUAUUAGUCAAGAAUUAAUAAGAAUUAAGUUUGUGGCUAAAAGACAUUAAUUAAACUUAAGGGACUAGAACUGUCAAUUGUGUGAUAGUUGAAUAUUGAGCUAAUGGACUCCAUAUUAAAGGGGUGGACGAAUUCUAUGGGGAAACCCAUUAGAAAUCGUCCAAAGGCCUUUAAGAAAGGAGUUCAUGGGUUGCUUAGGGCCUAAGCAUCCAAAUUAGGGUUUCCUUGUUAGAUAACCCUAAUAGCCUCACUAUUUAAGGAACCCUUAAGCACCAAAAACGUGGUGAACUAAUUGGUUAGGGUUUCUACACGUUUUGGGCAGCCUCCUUCUCUUCCCUUCUUCAUCCUCUUGCUCUUGGUGUUUGUGAACCAUUAGAGGAGUGACAUUUGUGACUCUAUACUUUCUAAAGUCAUUACAAGGAGGAUUUGAGAUUGUUAUUACUGCAUAACAAUCAAGGUACGAUCUAAACCCUAAUUCAUAUGUUAUAUUGAUUAUCAUAUACUAGAUCUAGGGUUUAAAGUCUUGGAUGAAUAGCAUGUACAAUAGAGAAACCUAGAUCCAAGCAUUAGGGUUGCAUGAGCACAUAGGAUGUUCUUAUGGCUAAAAUCCAUCAAGUGUGUCACAUCAGCUCCUAGUUUCUCCAAUGAGGGUGUAAGUUUAGUUCCAAAGGCCAUAGGCACUUUCACUUUGGUGUCUCCCAUCAUCCUAAAUUUAGCUAAUAAAGUCUUGGUGUAUGCCUCCUGAUUAAUAAAAAUGCCUUCGUGUCCCUGUCUAAUGUUCAAUCAAAGAAAUAAAUUAAUUGGACCCAUUGAGCUCAUCUCAAAUUUAGUUUCCAUCAACUUUCUAAAUUUAGUUGUUAAGCUAGGAUUCGUGGAGCCAAAGAUGAUGUCAUCAACAUAAAUUUGGACUAUCAUAAGGUGGUUACCUUCUCGCUUACGAAAGAAGGUUGGGUCAACCGAACCUUGUUUGAAUUUAGACAUUUUUAAGAAACGAGUGAGAGUUUCAUACCAUGCUCUGGGAGCCUGUUUGAGGCCAUAUACAACUUUGUCAAGGACAUAACAAUGAUCUGGAUACUUCUCGUUCACAAAGCCUGGCGGUUGCUCAACAUAUACGGUUUCUUCAAGUUCACCAUUGAGGAAGGCACAUUUGACGUCCAUCUGAUAGACUUCAAAGUUCUUGUGAGCUGCAUAUGCAAGAAAGAUACGAACAGACUCUAAUCUUACAACUGGAGAGAAGGUUUCUUCAUAAUCGAUUCCCUCUUCCUGACAAUAUCCUUUGACCACCAACCUCGCUUUGUUACGAAUGAUAUUCCCUUCCUUGUCCAUCUUGUUUCUGAAUACCCAUUUGAGACCGACAACCGAAGCAUCUUUUGGAGUUGGAAUAAGACGCCAUACCUUGUUUCUUUCAAACUCAUUUAAUUCAUCUUGCAUGGCUUGAACCCAGUCUGAAUGAUCAAGAGCUGAGUUAACAGUCUUCAGUUCAACUUUGGAAACAAAGGAGUUGAACAUACAAAACUCGACUUUAGAAAAGAGUGAAGCCUGUUUUGCUUUGAUUUGAGAACGAGUUAACACUUUUUCUGAAGAUUCCCCGAUAAUUUGACUUUGAGGGUGAUCUUUGGUCCAUUUGAUAAGUGGAGGAAAAUUUGAAUCAUAGAUAGGAUCCAAUUCAGCAUUGAUUUCUUCCUCUAGCUCGGACAGAAUGUCAUCAUCACUAACAUUGGUGUUCUCCCCCUCAAAGAAUGACUCCUGUUCAGGACCAGUAUUAGUAUCCCCUUCUUUGGUUGGAAUUUCAGUAGAGCUUGAAGAAUGUGGCGAUGAGUUCUCCCCCUGGAACAAAGACCAUUGAUCGUGAUGAGGAGUUGGACCCUCCCCCUGGACAUUAGGACUGUCAGUUAAUGGUUCACUUGCUUCUGCACUUCGGUUUCUUUGGAUUGAUCAUCAACCAUCUUUUGAGCAGCGUCGUCAACAACUUGUUUCAGAUUAUCAACUUUGUUGUCUUUUGCAUUUGAUUCAGAGUCAAUCGUUUUUUGACGCUCAUCAAACAGAAGCAUGAAUUGGUCGAAAAUAUUCGAGAUAGAGAUAGUAACUUGACCAUUCUUUGGGAAGAUCUCUUGCGAUGAACCUUCUGUUGAUUUCAUCUUCUUAACAUAACUAUCGUCAAAGGUGACAUAGUAUGUUUCUUCAAUUUUCUUUGAGCGCUUAUUGAGAACUCUAUACACCUUGGAGUUCAGGGAGUAGCCUAAGAAAUUUCCUUCAUCAGCCUUAGUAUUGAACUUGUUUUGAUUCUCUCUGGAGUUAAAAAUGAAACAUCUUGAACCGAACACAUGAAAGAAUUUCACAUUUGGUUUUCGAUUAUUCAAUAUCUCGUAAGAGGUAAUAGGACCGCUUAUUCAAAUAUGAUCUAUUUUGAGUAUAACAUGCAGCAGCAAUUGCAUCAGCCCAGAAAUACAAAGGUAAGGACGCGAAGCAUAGCAUAGUUCGAGCUGCUUCACACAGAGAUCAGUUUCGCCUUUCAACGAUGUCAUUCUGCUGUGGAGUAUAAGGGGCUGAGAAAUUGUGAGUCGUCCCCUUUUCAACAAGAAAAUCUUCAAAAUCUUUGUUCUUGAAUUCCAAGCCGUUGUCGCUCCUCACGUUACAAACUACUUUUCUUAGUUGCGUCUCUAUCUAUUUAAUAAAGAGCUUAAGCUUUGGAGUGGCUUCAGACUUUUGCUUGAGGAAGAAUACCCAUGUAAAUCUUGAGAAAUCGUCCACAAUAACUAGAAUGUAUUUGUUCCCCCCAAUGCUUUCAAUGGACGACGGACCACACAGGUCGAUAUGCAGUAACUCCAAUGGCUCUAUCACCUUUGUAUUGAUAAUAGAAGGAUGACUCUGCCUACUCUGCUUUCCCAUUUCACAUGCUCCACAAAGAUGUUCUUUAUCAAAUUUUAGAACUGGAAGACCUCGAACAUGAUCACCCAAGACCAACUUGUUGAUAUCCUUAAAAUUCAGAUGAGAUAGUCUUCUAUGCCAUAACCAGCUUUCAUCAGAGUGAGCCUUUGUUAGUAAGCACACAACUGGUUUACCUCGAAUUGGGUUGAGGUUCAAAGGAUACAUUUCCCCCUUUUGCUUUGACUUCAGCAGAACGUUGUUUGUUUUCUUCUCGACAAUCUUCGAGCCUUCAUCGUCGAAUGAUAUUUUCAAUCCAGUGCCAACCACCAGCUAUGAUACACUGAUAAGAUUGUGUUGAAUUCCUUCAACAUAAGCUACUUUCCUUAUAGAGAACUCGCCAUUAGUGAUCAUUACAUAGCCUUUGAUAGUACCAAAUGAGUUGUUUCCGUACUUUACAAUGCCACCAUCUUUGAGAGAACGAAAAUCCCUCAGUUCUUCCUUCCUUCCUGUCAUGUGACGUGAGCAGCCACUAUCAAUGUACCAUUCUUCGUCAAACUGAUCGUCACGAAUAACCUGCAAAAUAUUAAGCAGAUUUAGGAACCCAAAGUUUCUUGGGUCCUUGUGAGCCUUUUACAGGACAGGGUAUAGUAAGAGAAAUAUCAACCAUGUAUGUGCGUUUAACUAAAGUUGUUUCAUCUUUUCUUUUUAUGGUGAAAACUUUAAUUUUGGUUGAUUUAUUGGAAUUUGUGGUGUUGAUGUCAGCAUUCUUUUGAAUCUCUUUUGGAAGAUUGUUAUCUUCAGGAAAGAGUUUUUCUUUUCCCUUUGAAUCAUUUGAAGAACGAGAAUUUGAAUGGGAAUAGUUAGAUUCAGAAGUGACUUUGGAUCCCCGGUUUUUGUGAUUGGACUUGUAUGGAUGGGGACCGAAACCUCUAUUUCGGUUGCUAUUGGGUGAAGGACCGAAACUGCUCUUUCGGCUGUUAUUGGAUGAGGGACCGAAACUAUCCUUUCGGGUGUUAUUGGAUAAGGGACCAAAACUAUCAUUUUGGUUCCUUUCGGUCGAGGGACCGAAACAACCAUUUCGGCUCCUAUUGGUCGAAGGACCGAAACCACCUUUUCGGCUCCUUUCAGUAGAGGGACCGAAACCAUUAUUUCGGUUGGUAUUGUGGUGAGGACCGAAACUAUCCUUUCAGUUUAUUCCCUAUGUGGGACCGAAACUUCCCUUUCGGUUCCUUGAUUCCUCUUGUGAUUUGUGCUUCCUUUCUAUCCUUAUAAAGUUAGGAUUUUGAGAAUUCCAAAACUGUUUUCUUUCUGAGAGAUUCUUCUUGUAUCUCAGAUUUCUUUGAUGCUUUCUAUCAGCCACCUGUUUUAGAUUUCUGUGAAUGUUGGCCUUUCUUUUCGAAAUGUGAGCACAACAUUCACUUUUUGAUGAUGAUGUCUCACUAGAGGUUUGCACAGGUUCGCUCAAUGGUGCUUUGGAUCCGCUUGUGCUCGGCACAUCAUAUCUUGUUGGCUCAUUUANGGUAUGUAUCUACCUUUCACUCUCCAUGAAGUUUUCUGAGAUAGACCCUUCGUCUCAUCAGCGUUGUCUAUUGGGGCCGACCAGAAAAAUUCGUCACAUCCACCAGCAUUGUCUUCUUCUACCAUAGCUGUUAACUCUACAGUUUGUUGUGGAGUGACACCUGGUACUGUGUAGACUUGAUUUGGAGUGUUUUGUACCUUCUGGUACACAACAACUUUAGCUUUGAGAACUUUGGUUUUUUUCAGUAGAGGAUGAGCAAAAUCAACAGAGUUUUUAGAAAUUAGAUUUUUGCGUGACUUAGGUUCGCUUUUGACAAAUUCAGAACAGUCCACCAAAUCCUCUACAGAGAUUUCACUCAGAUCAUCAUCCUCAUUAAGUUCAGAUGCAUUUUCAACAUCAAUUUUAUUUUCUGAACUUAAUUUGGCAUUCAAAGAGUCAAAUUUUUGUACAGUUUCUGUAAAGCCCGAAAAAUGGAUCUACCAAUGAUCAAAGACAAAUAACAGAAGCAAAGAUGAAAUAAUAAGCAAAUAACAAAAUGAACCAAGCUUGCGUACGCCUUAAAGCAAUAAAACGUCAGAUACAACUUAGGGAAAACACGAAGGCAUCAACAACCUUUAAAGUCUGACACAACGCCCUAUUUAUAGCCAUGACUUACAACCGCAAGGAGUUUACGGCCGUAAGGAGAUUACGGCCGUAAACACAUACCAACCGUAAACUAGACAAAAUUGAUUUUUCUACACAAUCACUACCACUAAUCAGUAUACCUAGACCAAACCAUUAGACAAGGUCUUUCAAUCUCCCCCUUGGUUUGGACUAGCUCAAGCCCAUUCCUUUGUCGACAAUCAUCACGUCCAUCUGGCCCAUCGCUCCAUUCCACAUUCUCUUGCUUAGAAUCUCUGCGAUCAUCGUUGUGUACACCUUGGCUCCUUCCUCGUAAAUAUCUUCAACAACUUUAAUUUGAAAGUUGCUAAGAUAGUGAAUAUCCCAUUUCCUGAACUGCAACAAGUCUCUACGAUCGUACAAAUGAAUACACCCAUUCUUAAGUUUGAUAACAACUCCCGAUGUAUUUUCAUCAUAGACCCAACAUUCCAAAGAACUAAGAGAUCCAUCUUGAUAGCCUUGAAGUACAGGAAAUUGCUUGACUUGUUUUGUUGCUAGCCACAUCACUACCUGCAACGGCUUGUCAGUAGACGGUUCCAAGACAUCUGGGUGUUCAAAUACAACUGACUCUGUCGUCGGCAUCGAUAGAAAUCCUUUCUUCACUUGAUCAUCCAGAAAGUGUUUAAACUGAGUAACUUGAGGAGUGUAGAAAAGAUUGAUAAACGGAGCUUGAGACAAUUCCGUUAGAUCAAUUCUCGUGAACGACCUAAAUGCAUGAAUGUCCUUAUACAACUCUGAAUUACCACUCUUACGAUGACAAUCCANAUACAACUCUGAAUUACCACUCUUACGAAUGACAAUCCACAUUCUGAGAGCAUCAUGAAACCCCCAGGCAGCCACUCCUGAUCUAUCUCCAAAUGUAUCUCGGAACCUAACAACUUCAAGAUCAGUAACAGUUAUUAAGGGUUCGCUCCGAAAUGUAUUCUGAUUAAUAUUUUGUUUAAACAACAAUUGUCCUUUCUGGACAUCAUCUUCUUGAUUACGACGAAUAAGUUCUUGAAUGUGUGGAGCUAAUGGAAGUUCAACAACAACACGCUCAGCAGUACCAGAAGACUAACCGACUGGUAGGUCAAAUGGAAAAGCAUGUACGUGAAGAUUAAUCCUUUGUUCUUCAACAGACGUCUGGUAUUUCUCACCAAAAUCAGCUUCAAGUUUCUUCUUUAACUCAAAAUAACUCGAAGUCAGCAGAUUAAAAUGAUCUUGUAAAUCGGAGAUCUGUUUGCUUUUCACCUUCUUAUCCUUCUUAAGUCCAGCCAGUUGUCUGCGAAGAUCGACAUUCUCGGCACGAAGCUCUGCCACCUGAAUAUCAAGUUCAAUAUUUUUCUGGCUAAGAAUCGAAAUAUCUUUCUGCAGACCAGCAAGAGUAAGAUUGUCAUCCCUUGCACCACCUUCUUCAAUGGAAACACCCUUUCCUCGAGGAUCUGGCGAUGCAAUUUGUUCUUCAGCCAUGUGCAACGCCAGCCUUUCAGAAGCAACAUCUCGACGGUAUCUAGGGACUGAGAAACCAGGCGGUGCAGAGGAACCACCAACAUCAAAUGUUGAACUCGGACCAGUUGGAAACAUCUUUGUAGUGGUGAGCCUUGUAGUAGUAGUAGUGAAAGGUGGGGUAGGAAGACCACUAACCAAACUUGUGAUUAGUUCAGAUUGUCUUGCAUCAAGUCUUCUUCUUUUAGAUUGUUGUUGGUCAGCUUCAGGAGAAAACACACUCACAAACGGUUCGCGAGUAGGAGAAACAGACACAGGAGGGGAACAUCCCAUAACCAUCUCCAUAGGAAUAGAAGUUGACACCAUUUGCUUUGAAGUAGGAGUUCGCGUAUCAAACGUCUCGCUCGAUUUCCUUGUCUCAGUUGUGUGAAGACCAACAUCAUCGACAUUAUAGAAAAUUGUGUCAAGAUUUUCAUGAGACACAACAUUAGCACUGCUUGCCAACGAAGCUGCAAUAUCAUCGCGAUCAAAACCAGUCAAAUCUAGAUCAUCAAAAGAGUCAUUUCUCUCUUCACCCAUACUCAUCUCUCCACCAACUUGAUCAUCACUCAACACUUUUUCAUGUUCUGAGACAGUUUGAACUUUGGGAGUUGGAGAAUCUUCUUUUUCGGUUUCUUCAUCUUCGGACACAUCUAUAACAAUGUUGUUUGACGUUGACCUUUCAGCAGAUGUCUUCUCCGAGGAGGAUCGCUCAGACGACUCAUAUGACUCUGGAGUUUCAUCCAGUUUAGUAAAUUUUCCAAACUUUUCAAGAGGAUAUAGUCCUCAAAAUAUGACUUUGCCUUUCCGAUUUUGUUUGAUGAGUCCCACCGUGUGGGGACCUAAGGACUUCAUAUCCAAUGUCUCUCCCGUCUUCCUCACGUUUGGAAAUUGAAUGUUGAUGAACACUUGUAUGAAGCGGGGAUACAACAGAAAAGUAUCCCGAGUAGAAGCUCUGAUGUUAAUAACAAAUUCCUCAAGGAUGAACUUUGAGAAAUUAAAGCGAAAACCAGCAGCAAGAGAUACGAGAGCACCAGUUGUGCGCUGAGAGAUCUCAUCUGCCCCAGACCUCCUUCCCAAGAUGCAGCUUACAAAAACAUGGCCCAAAAACCUCCAGUAUGGGUGUAGCAACUUUUUCAGCGUCGGCGGAAAGGUUCCCUCGUAACUCAUUCUUCGUAGAACCCUUUGAACAUCUGCGAUUCCAAUCUCUGUCGGGAAAUUGGGUUGAUCAUCAAUUAGCAGCACUUCACGAAUAAAGCCUUCAUCAAUGACAAUUUCUCGAUCCUGUACUUUCGCCUUCACCGUAAAAUUGCCAUCAUCAUCCAUGUGUGUUUCCGCAGUCGCCCAAAACUCGCGUAUCAAACUUUGAUAAACCACCGGAUUGAUAGUGAUUGCGGAUGCUAAGCAGCAUUCACGCAAUCGAUGAAUCAUCGAACGCAUAUCCGAGUGAACAACUGGAGGGUCCGCGAGUACAAUUGUCAGGUUGUGCAUAUCUGCAGAUUUUAGGUUCGCCAUUGUCUGCACUCAAACACAACUGUAAGAAACCUCAAAAAAAAAAUUAUUUUGACCAAAAAAAAUUAUGACCAAAAUAAAAUUUCAUAACAUUAAGUUUACUACCAAGAUGUUAAAGGAAACCGUGAUAACUAGUGAUAACAUAGUUUACGGCCAAGAAGUUAACAAAAACUGAAAAAUCUGUUCUUCGGCCGUAAACUCGAGGUUUACGGUCUAAGAAUUGUUUUGAAAAUCAACACACGAUAUCCCUUUAAUUAUUUUAUUCGAACCGAAAGCAGUAAACACAUUGUUCCUGGGCCGUAAACUCGGAGUUUACAGCCUAAGAACUUUCAGUGGGAAAACCCCAAAAAUCGAUUCUACACUUCGAAUUAGCGCAUAGGACUUGAAGAUAUGUAAAUGUAAACGUCUAUGGCACCAAUAUAAAUUAAAAACAAGUCCAAAAUUCAAGUGCUCGGAGUUUACGGCCUAAGCUUACGGCCGUAAGCUCCGUCGAAUCGUUUUUUCGUGAUUUCUGGCAUAACGACACGGUGAAACAUGAAACAAAUUAAAUAUUUGUGAUCUAGAAGUGAUUACCUUUGUGAUGAUGUAAGUGGUUUUCCGAAAAUCAAAGAUUUUUUUUUUUGCCUUUUGAGAGGGUUUAGAGAGAGUUUGCGGCCGGAAACUCGUGAAUGAGGAGAUUCCGGCAGUGAACUCCUUUUUACUCCUUUCACCCUCACUUACCCUCUUACUUGAUAAUUACCCAGUAUUUCCAAAAACUUUGAGGAUUAAUUUAAUUUUUUGAAAAAUAAAAUAAAAUAAAAUAAGAUAAAAUAAAAUAAAAUAAAAUAAAAGAAACGAAAUUAAAAUAAAAAUUGAAAUAGCAAAAGUAAUUAAAAAUUAAAGUCAAAAUUAACAUUUUUACAAAAAAUAAAAAUAAAAAAAAAUUAAAAAAAUAAAAAUAAAAAGAUAAAAUUGAGAGAAAAAUAUUUUAACUAAAAUAAUUUUACACAACAAAAUUUAACCACUGUAACCUUUGUGAUGCUUGGAUCAAAGUUGUUAGACGGCCUUAUUCCGCUUGUCGGUACCCUUAUCUUCACAUCUUCGUCUGACCGAUUGCCAGUAUUGUGGUCCACUUAAGCACGAAAGAUUUGUGACAUUUUUGGACCUUUUACCAAUGACAUGAUUCAGGCAUAUACCUAAUUGUAAAUUUCUGUAAUUAUGAUAACUCCUAAAUCUUAAAUAAAUUCACCUUAUGACCAUUUAACUGACUACAACCAGGGAUAUUGUUGUCCACCUAAAUCGAGCAGCGAGAUCUACAGACAAUCUAUAUGAGUUCAAUUUUAAGUGUACUGGAACGUGUUUCCCGCUUCCUGAUAUGCCCCAGCCAUCAAGAACUUCCAGAGUACUCCUUACACCGGGUGAGCAGACAACCAUUCAGAGAGAGAAGAGAUUCAUAAUUCUAUUGCUAACUACUUCAGAGGGGUUGAGAAGAAGAAGGUUGCAUAUGUUGUGUACCAGGUCGGAUUAGAAGUCACGCAAAGGAGACAGCAUAUGGCUAACAGAUAAGAAGUAUUUCACAUAUAUAUAUCCUGCAGAGAAAUAGAGUUGCAUAUGUUGUGUACCAGGUCGGAUUGGAAGUCGCGCAAAGGAGACAACAUAUGACUAACAGACGGAAAGAAAGAAAAUGAUAUUCUACAGACCUAAUUUAUCGGAAUUUACCAGUCGCCCCAUCCAACCGGAAUUAAGGACAGAAUCCGCACAUCGAGGAAAAGUUAAGCCACGGUUCCAAGUACGGGUUCAAUUAAUGUGACGAGUAGAUUCUCAUGUAUAUCUCCCUGCUCAACCUAUCCGAGCGUCGUGACAUCAGGUUAAACGGAUCUAACUAGGUCAAAGUUCGUCAAGUCCUUAAAUUCAUUAGGUUCAACUUUCCUAGUCAAGUCCAUUUAAAAUCUUUCGUGCCUACCAGCACAUCGAGUACAGAGCGUAGACGAUUCAACUUAGGUACGUUACGCCGAUUCAGGUUGCCCUUUAUCACUUGUUAAUUUCAUUUCCCAUCACAGUACUUACAACCGAAGUUGUCAACAAUAAAUUUUAAAAUGCUGAACAGAAAUGACACUAUUUUUGGAUUUUUGUAAUUUAUUUUUGUUGUUUUUGGAUUUUUAUUUCUCCCCCUAAAUUUGUGCAUGGGUGAGAAUACGAAACAAAAUAAUGUGCAAAUUUUAAACUAUCCUGAAACAAAAUUUUAAAAGGUAAACUAAGAAAAACCAAAAAUAAAUUGAGAAGAAAAAGAAAAAGAAAAAUAAAGAUAAUAAAAAAUAAAAAAAAAAAACUUAAUCCUCAAAACGUAUCAUUUUCAGAAAUCCAACAAGCACAUCGAAACGAUCUUUGUUAAAAGGCUUUGUGAACAAGUCCGCCACAUUGUUAUCAGUGUGGACUUGUUCGAUUUGAAUUAAAGAUCGUUCAUAACAGUCUCUGAUAAAGUGAAUUUUAAUGUCGAUGUGCUUGGUUUUAGAGUGUUGGACUGGGUUUUUAGCUAUUUGAAUUGCCGCUUCAUUAUCACAAUAGAUAGGGGUUUCGAAGUAAUUCAAACCGUAGUCCAACAACUGAUGUUGGAUCCAGAUAACUUGAGAGCAGCAAGCUGAAGCAGCAACGUAUUCCGCCUCUGCUGUUGAAGUCGAUACAGUGUGCUGUUUCUUGCAUUGCCAUGAAACUAAUCUGUCACCUAGGUAUUGACAUCCUCCUAAAGUUGAUUUCCUGUCAAGCUCACAUCCUCCAUAAUUACUGUCAGUAAAAGAAUAAAGAUUAAAUUCAGAAUUUUUCGGAUACCAAAGACCCAAUUUAGGGAUUCCCUUGAUAUACCGAAAAAAUCUUUUAACAGCAAUAAGAUGAGAGAGUUUAGGAUUAGCCUGAUAUCGAGCGCAUUGACAGACUGCAAACAUAAUGUCAGGUCGACUUGCAGUAAGAUACAUCAGCGAUCCUAUCAUUGAUCGAUAGAGAGUUUGAUCUACGGACUCGCCUUCAGGAUCUAGAGUCAGGAGAGGUCGUUCAGCCAUCGGUGUAGAAGCAGAUUUAGCAUCGUGAAGCGCAAACUUCUCAAGAAUAUCCUCCACAUACUUGGCUUGAUGUAGCAGGAUUCCGGUUGAAUUCUGUUUAACCUGAAGCCCCAAAAACAUGGUCAUUUCCCCCAACGAACUCAUUUCAAAUCUUUUCUUCAUUACACUUUCGAACUCUUUGCAAAGCUUUUGGUUUGUUGAUCCAAAGAUUAUGUCAUCGACGUAUAUUUGUACGAGUUUCUGGUCCUUGUCGACAUGCUUUAUGAAUAAUGUUUGAUCGAUAGUGUCGCGAGUGUAACCAUGUUCGAGCAGAUGCUUUGUUAGGGUUGCAUACCAUGCUCUAAGAGCUUGAUGCAGCCCAUAUAACGCUUUGUCCAACUUGUAGACAUGAUUAGGAUACUUUGAGUCGACAAACCCUAGAGGUUGAUCAACGUAGAUUUCUUCCUUCACCUUGCCAUACAAGAAGGCAGUCUUGACAUCCAUUUGAAAGACAGUAAAGUUCAUAUACGAAGCAUAUGCUAGGAAGAUACGAAUAGCCUCCAGGCGAGCUACUGGAGCAUAAACUUCAGUGUAGUCAAGACCCUCGACUUGUCGAAACCCACGUACUACCAGUCUGGCUUUGUUUCACACGAUAACCCCUGAAUCUUCCUGUUUGUUGCGAUAGACCCAUCGUUUGUCAAGAGACUUCUUGCCCUUUGGUAUCUCAACCAAUUUCCAAACACCGAGUUUUUCAAAUUGAUGCAAGUCUUCAUGCAUUACAUCCACCCAGCUAGGUUCAUUUAGAGCCAUUUCUACAUUCUUGGGCUCAAUUUGAGAAACAAAGCAAGAAUACAGACAUGUAUUCACGUCUCCACUCUGACUUCUAGUUUUAACACCAACAUUUAGCUGGCUGAUGACGUUUUCGAUCGGAUGAUCCCGUUGAACCCUAGAAGGUAUUUCUUGGCUGAUGUCAUUGAGAGAAACAGGUAGAGUGUGAAUGUUGAGACCUCCUUCAUUUGCUGGUUGAGUAGUACCAGAUGGUUCUGCGACAUACUCAUCUACAAUAAGGUUAGGAAAGAGUAAUUCCAUCAGAAUUGAAGAGACAGUGGAAGCAUCAUUUGGAACGAACUCUUUCUCUGAAGAUAUGUGAGGUCUCGAUUCAACAUUAGAAGAAUCAGUGUGGUCUGAUUGAGGACUAUCAUGUUCCAAGAACGGCCUCCCUUGAGGAGUAGCAGAGGACUUUUCUGAAGAUGUUGCAGAAGACUCCCCCUCAAUUGUAGCAGAAGGCUCCCCCUCAGUUGCAGCAGAAGGCUCCCCCUCAGUUGCAGCAGAAGGCUCCCCCUCAGAUGCAGCAGAAGAUUCUCCCUUGCGCGAGUCAGAGGACUCCCAUUCAGGAGAAGCUUUAGACUUUCCUUUCGAUGAAUUAGAAGGUUUAGAUAUAGGCUUGUAUACGACUUCUUCGUCUUCAUCUUCAGAGAUACUCUUCCAAUGCGAACCAGUUCUAGAUACAUCAUUUGAAUACACGUUUAAGGAUUUGAAAAGUGACGUAUAAUCAAACAACCAAUCCGGACCCACUCUUGCGUCUGUCUCAUUCUCUUCCAACCAACGCACGUCAUAGGAUUCCACAAUCUGUUUGGUUUUCUUAUUGUAGACUCUAUAAGCGGUAUGAGCAGCAUACCCAACAAAAUAGCAGUCAUCGGCUUUGGCAUGAAACUUCGGGUUGGCAUCUAGGUGAAGAAGGGUGCAAGGACAACCAAAUACUCGCAAGUGACUGACUGACGGAUUGUGUCCAUAGUAGAUUUCAUACGGAGUUUUCAUUUGAGCUUUGUUAAUAAGCACUCGAUUCUGAACGUAACAAGCAGUGUUUAUCGCCUCCGCCCAAAAGAAAACAGGCAGCUUUGAGUCACACAGCAUUGUUCUUGCAGCAUCUUUGAGUGUUCUGUUCCGCCUUUCAGCAACACCAUUUUGUUGAGGUGUAUGAGCUGAACUGAAUUGACGCAGGAUACCCUUUUCAGCAUAGAAGUGAUUGAGAAUGGAAUUCUUGAACUUUGUUCCAUUAUCGGUACGAAGCGCCUUCACCUUAUGAUUGGUCUAAUUCUCAACAAGUACAAUGAACUUCUUGAUCAAUUUAGUGACACCAACUUUGUUGGAUAGAAAGAAAACCCACGUAAAUCGAGAGAAAUCAUCAAUCACAACUAAACAAUAAGAACUUCUGUUGAUGCUUAGCACGUUCACUGGACCAAACAAAUCCAUGUGAAGUAAUUGAAGAACCUGACUGAUUGAGUUAACCUGUUUUGGCAAGUGCGACUUUCGAUGGUGCUUUCCUUGAGCGCACGACACACAUUUUUCAAACGUAAUAAAGUCCUUGACGGGCAAUCCACGGACCAUCUCGUUUUUCACAAGAAGAUUUACAUUCUUGGCGUUAGCAUGAUCUAAUCUUCGGUGCCACAGCAUUGCAGUUUGCUCGGAAAUCUUGGAAAAUAGACACGUAACUUGUUCUGGGAGAUUGCUAUUCAUAUCAAUAAUAUAGGCGUUCCCAUCCCUUUUUGAUCUUACGAGAAUCCAUUCUUCAGGGAUGACAAAGCCUGGCUUUAAGACCAUGCAUUCCUUGUCAGUGAAAUGCGUAGAAUAGCCCUUGUCACAAAUCUGAGAAACGCUUAACAGACUGUGUUUCAACUCGGGAGCGAAAUUCAUGUUUUCGAAACUUAGAACUCCAUUUGACACAGUUCCCCUUUAAGUGAUUUUCCCUCCAUCUCCACCCGCAAAAGAGACAUACCCCCCAUUAAAUGAUUGAAUGCUGCGCAGUUGGGUGAUAUCUCCCGUCAUGUGUCGGGAACAGCCACUGUCGACAAACCAAGGUCUGACGACAUUUCCCCGCAACUGUCCCUGCAAAAUGUGCGGGUUUAAUUAGAUUUGGGCACCCAGGUCAUGAUCUUCCUGGGUGAUCCCGAUGCCUUUUCAGAUUUAUUGCACUUAAACUUCUCUGAGGACACAGAUGAUGUAUUGGGAGCAGGUUUGGGCCUCCAUUUAUAAUUAGGUUUUCUGAAAAACUCAGUUAACUUUGUCAUUUUAUGUUUAACAAUCUGCUUAAAGCAUGUGUUACUUCUACCAGAGUUGGUUGAAGAUCCACUAUUGCUUUGGGAUGAGCUUGACCUUGGCGUGGCUAUGCUCCUUUUUGGCAGACUGCUCGGGACAAGGUGAUUAAAAACCUUUUUAUGUCUGUGAAAAAUAUCCCUUUUUCUAUUUCUUUCAUCUGCCCAAUCAUCAUUUCGAGAGCGACUUCUAGAGGAAUUUCUAUUUAAAGACCUUCCUCUGAACUCGUUCUCCCCUCUUGGAAGAUUAUGACUCACAAACAUUCGAUUAAGACAAUUUCUAGCAAUAUGACCACUAGUACCACAAUUAAAACAAAUCUGCUUGUUAUUGUUAGAACUUGUGCUGCAUUUAUCAGAUUCGUUUUCCCUACGAACACCCUUGCUUGUCUCAUAGGAACAUGCAACAUUAUUAGGUUGUGAGGCAAGUAAGGCUGCUAUACUCAUGGAGGGUUGUGAAACUAGUGGUGUCUCAACAUUUUUAUCACAAACAUUCAAAUUGUCAACCAAAUUGUUCAAAAAUUUAUCAGACAUAUUAGAAGCACUCAAAACUGUAUCAGAAGUAGCAGCUACUGUAUCAGAAGAAUUAAAAACACCACAAGAAAUAUUGUCACUUAAAACAUUUGAAAAAGAAUUGUCUUUAUUUAAAAUGAAAGCUUCAGGUUUGGACUCGAUUUUAUUUUCAGAAACACAUCCUUCAACUUUGUGCUUUGACUGAUUCAAGGAUUGAUCUGCAGGAGAAGUAGAAAUGUUAGUACUUUCAACAUUAAUAAAUCCUCCCGAAACAAAACCGGAGGGCUUGCCAUAAAUCAUAAAUGAUUCAUUGACAAUCUCUUCUUUGGACAAAGGCUUGGACACAUAUGAAUGAUUGAAAGGAGGGGGUACAUGAUUAUACCCUAGACCUUUUGAUUGAUUCCUUUUAAACUGCAUACUUUGGUCUAUCAUAUUUGCAACCACCUCACUUGAGAAAUCAUAUUUUCUAACAUCAAGUUUGGCGGUCUCAAAUUUUCCUUUCAAAGAUUCAACUUCAGCCACUAGCUCAGCAUUUUGUUUGACUACAUAAUCAUAGUUUUCACAUUUGUUACUGUAGUCUUCGUGGAGUCUCCUAAAGUCUUUAAUUUUUUAUUCUAGUUGAGCUUUAAGUGGUUUUUGUCCUUUUCGAAGUCGGUACCCUUCAUAUCUAAGGUCUUCUAUGUCUCUUAUUAAUUUGUCAUUGAGUUCACGAAGAAUCCUAAGAUUUUCUACUUCAUUGCCUAAUGUCUCAAUUUUAUCCUGUAAAGUUUUCACAUAAUCUAUACAAGCCUUAGAGCAUGAUGGGAGACUUACCUUGGACGAAUUAGGUUCAUGGGAAGAGGAUACCAUCAAAGCAAAUUGUAGCUUCAUCACACUGUCUUCAACUGCUACAAUCCCUGCAGUAGUAUCAUCCCUUACCUGUGCCAGAUGAGCAUUUUCUGGUCCAGAUAAGUUGAGAGCUUGUAUUUGAUCAUCCCAAUCGAAAGAUUGUGCAACCAUAGCCUUUUCAUUGUUUGCUUGACUACUGCUUCUGUUGUUCCCAACAACAACCAUUGUUAUGUCAUUAUUAAUCCUUCUAUCAGGGUGAGGGCAAUCACGAGCAAAAUGCCCUGGCUUGUGGCAAUUGAAACACCGAAGCUUUCCUUUGUUGAAUCCAACCUUCUUGUCAGCGCUCAUUCCCCAAUUGUUCUUCCCUGUCUUUUUGGCAAACUGUUUUGCCCUAAAUACAGCCAUGGCAAUUUGCCAUGUGAUGUCCAUUUCCUCAACGUCCUCCGGAUGGAUUUGAUCAAGAUCUGCAAAUGACAAUUGAGGCGGAAGCUCCCCAGCUACAAGCGCAUUGUAGCAAUUCACAAGCCCUGCUGCAAAGACAAGGUUUUCAUCACCCUCCUUUCCUUUUGAAGAGGAGGUCACAUUUGAGGUUGGAGCAGUUUGGGCAGACACGAGUGGUUGACUUUGUGAGUGGUGAAUGACUGGUGUAGAGGAAGAUGAACCUGCAGGGGUAUAAGAGAAAGAAGAAAGAGCAUUGUUAGUUGAAAUGCCAAGAUUGGCAGCUGAGUAGGAGUUCACAUGAUUGAUCUCUCGCUGCUUGUCAUCAAUAUCACACGCUUUGAUGACAGCCAUCACUUCAGCUAGAGAAAGGCGAUUGAGAUCCUUAGUCUUCUUAAUCACAGCUACGUUCAUGUCCCAAGAUUUUGGGAGAGCAUUUAGUAGCUUCUUAUUAAUUUCUGACUUUGUAUAAAAGAUCCCUGCCACAGUCAUCUCUGUGUUGAGAGUUGUGAAUCGCUGCAGUUGAGCUUCGAGAGUCUCUCCGGGCACAUAAUUAAACAUGUUGAAAUGUUGCCUCAGCAUAUCUUGGCGGCUCUCUCGCAUGUCUUCAUUUCCCUCAUAUACUUCAAUAAGGGCUUCCCACAGUGCUUUAGCAGAAGUAUACUCUCUGAAUCCUUGAGCAAUGUCUGGAGAUAAGGCCAUAGUCAAAAUGGCCAAUGCCUUUUCUUGUUCUUCUACACUCUCAAAGUCUUCAUCAGUGUAGUUUUCAAUUUUCUUGUCAACCACCUGCCCCCCAACUGUAGUGGUGAUUCUGACUGGAUCCUUUAUAACACAUUUCCAAAUCUUGAAGUCCUUCAUCUUUAUAUAUUUCUCAAUUCUAUAUUUCCACUCGGGGAAACCAUCAGCAGACAUGAGUCUUGGAAUGCGCGUGGUUGUUCCCAUCACAGCAUCGAGUUCUUGAUAUUGAUUAGGACUUUGUGAUUCCCUUUUUAAAUUAAGGUUAAUUAAUUAAAAAAAUUUCUGUUUAUUGUGAAUUCUGAACAUUACUUGACUAAAAUUCAAGAAAGGUUUACUGCCAAGAACUGUUUACGGCCGUAAACUAGGAGUUUACGGUCCGUGAAAAUUUUAAAUUCUGAAUCAGAAAAUGAAAGAUGCAAUUUAUCUGAAAUUGAUUAUCAGAUAAUCGAUUUACGGCCAAUGAUUUUCUGAGAGAAUUUCGAGUUUACGGCCAAUGAUUAUGGCCAAUGAUUUUCUGUUAAGAAUUUAUUUUAUUUGAGAAUUUUAAUGCAAUGAAAUAUUAUUUUGAAAGCCUUAAGUCAGGAACUCGAUUUGCUGGAGAAGAGAUUUAAUUGCGAUGUAUGAACCUUGAAUAGCUUGCGGCCGUGAACUUGGAGUUUACGGCCGUAAGCUCGGACCGUGAACUCUUAAACACACGAAAAUCGAAUGGAAUAAAACCCUUCUUUCACUGUGAAUAUCGUUUUGAGCAAAAACGCAACUAUAGGAUGUCUUUGACACUGGUCUUGCUCUGAUACCAAUUGUAAAGCCCGAAAAAUGGAUCUACCAAUGAUCAAAGACAAAUAACAGAAGCAAAGAUGAAAUAAUAAGCAAAUAACAAAACGAACCAAGCUUGCAUACGCCUUAAAGCAAUAAAACGUCAGAUACAACUUGGAGAAAACACGAAGGCAUCAACAACCUUUAAAGUAUGACACAACGCCCUAUUUAUAGCCAUGACUUACAACCGCAAGGAGUUUACGGCCGUAAACACAUACCAACCGUAAACUAGACAAAAUUGAUUUUUCUACACAAUCACUACCACUAAUCAGUAUACCUAGACCAAACCAUUAGACAAGAUCUUUCAGUUUCGUUUCUCAAUUUUAAUCUAUCAUUUUCGUCUAACAGAUUUUUGAGCAUGUCCUUGUGGUCUUUGGACUUUAUAUAGGAUUCAAUUUUGUCUAAACCUAUUUUAUAUGCUAAAGAAACUUCAUCAGAAGAUACAACGCUUUCACAGUUGUAGGCUUCAGCAUCGAUUUCAUCCUUCUUUAACUCAAGGAAGGGUAAAAUCAUGCGAUGUAUCUUCUUUCCUAUUUCACAAUCAAGAUGCAACUUAGUGAUGUUAAAAUAGAGUCUUUUAGCAAUUAAACAAAACACAUUUCGCUGUUUAAGAAGUUUAAGAUUGUCUCUUUGCAAAUAAAUAGAAUCAUCCUUAGACCUAAUUAACUCCUUUUCCUUUUGCUCGAUCCACAUCCUUCGUUCCUCACUCUUUUGAUGAAAUCCUGCUGAUUUGAUCAGUUAGUUUGGAAUUUGUGACACGGGUUUGGGUGAGACUGCUACUUAUGCUCGAGAAUUUUGACUUUAAGUUAUUUAAUUCCUUUUCAUAAUUAGUAGGUAUUUUUAGAGAAGCAAGAAUAUUUUGUACCUUUUUGAUCAACUCAUCACAUUCGUUGAUCUGUGCACUGACAGGUUUGGCAGCAAAACACCUAUCCUCUCGCUCCCUUUCGUCUUCAACUCCCCCAUCGAUUGUAUAUCCUCUUAUUUGGGACACACCUUCGGUCACCACAAAGCACCUUCCUAUUGCAUGUUCUUCUUUUGCCAGCAUAGCCUUUCCAUGAGCGGGCUUCCUGACUUCAUCAUCCUCAUAAUCUAUUGACCAGACCUCCACACCACCAAAUUCAUCACUGUUGUUUGUAUCCUGCACAAUUAAAGCAUUCAUGGUAGUAUUGUUUGCAGCAAACUUUCUUUUCUUGAUUUCCUCCAGUUUUCUCAUGAGGCUCGCUUCCUCAUCUUCUUCAUUUGUCUUCUCUUCUUUCUUUCUCAGCAUACAACCUUUAGCAAAGUGAUUCUUGCCUCCACAGUAAUGACAGUCGAAUCCUGAGUCUCCUCCAACUUUUGCUUCCUUCUUUGACUCUUCAGACUUUGACCCCAUCGUCGGUUCCUCCUUGAUCUUUUCGGCGCCGUAACUACCCUGCCAGUUUCGGUUCUUGUUGGCUGGGAAUUUCUUCUUAAUGAAUUUUCUGGGAUUGGACACCAUCAUGGCAUAUUCUUCACCGGUUAGAUCAUAAUUGGCAAGAUCCAAUUCCUCUUCUUCUUCAAUUGAACUCUUUCCUUUAGAGACAAGAGCUAAAGAACCCAGACUGGAAACCACAUUCGUUUCCUUAGACAGUGCACUCUCAUGGGAUUUCAAAAUACCCACUAGUUUUGCCAGAGAAUAUGACUUGAACUGUUCAUGAGCUUUAACUGUUGACACAACAACCAUCCAUUCGAUUCUGAGGCCAUUCAUGAAAGUAACUUUUUGUUCGAUAACUUUCCUUUCAAUCCCAUGCUUUAUCAUCUUACUUAAAAGAUGAUUGAAGCGAUCAAAAGUUUGAACAAGUUUCUCUUCAGGCUUCUGCUUAAAGUCACCAAAUUCAGACAACAAGAGAGUUUGGAUUGAAUGUUCCAAAUCUUCUUCAGUGGAAUACAAUUCUUUUAAUCUAUCCCAGAUCUCUUUAGCUGUAGCACAAGAACUUACCAAACGAAACGUAUCCGACUGCAGCGCAAACCUUAUCAUCCUCAGGGAUUUGAUGUUGCAUUGAAACUUUUCCUUCUCAUCCUAAGGAAUAUCUUUGACAUCGUUGACAAGAUGAUUGUACUCUUUCUGUGUUUUGACAAUCUUAGAAGUGCUUGAGUGAGCGAAUGGGUCUACAGUAAUCGCUUCCCAGAUUAAGUAUCCAUUAUCCUCCGAUCCAAUCACGUAAUCUUCAAAGUGAUGCGUCCAAACUUCAUAGUCUUAUGUAUACAAGAUUGGUAUUCUUCUCGUAGACCCUAUGCUGUUGGAGAUAUUGAUCGGAUUGGUUUGUGACUCAUCCAUGGACAUUGUAAAGACUUUUGAUUGAUAACCUGUAAAAGAUCAGACUUGUAAUAUAUCGUUAGGGUUAGAUCAACAAUUAAUGAGAUACGUCAAUAUAGAGUGACAGCUCAAUUAAUAUCAAUCAAUGCGGAAUUAAAAACCCUUAUAACUUCUUCGACAGAAGAGAUGUGUAUGAAUUACACAGUCUCCUGCUCUGAUACCAAUUGAUGAGAAUUAAACUCUAGAUCAAUUAGAUCUUUCACAGGUAUGAUUAUGGAAAUCAAACAAGUCAAAAACAAUAAGAGAAUGAACACGGAAUAGAAUCAAAUGUAUGCUUAUGAUUCAAAAUAAAGUCACGCCUCAGCAGAGCUCGAUGAAGAACUUCCACUGUAGAGGCGAGCUAGGGUUUUCACAAACUCAGAGAAAAUAAACAGUUAAAACGAUAACUACUAAGUCUGCAUGCAUGCAGCUUAUAUACUAAACCCUAGUACGAAAACAUGCACGGUUGGACAGGCCCAAUACCGCCAAUCAAAACUGGGCUAAGGACCGAGCCCAUGACGCAAUAUAAUAGACCCAACAGUACCCAUACAAUGGUUGGAUUAUGUUUAUCAGUUUCAGUAGAACAACAUGCUAGAAUAGGACUAAGGAUCUAGGAAUGAUGCCUUAUGUGCCUGCUUUAUGUGCUUUAGCUUAUGAGAAUUGCAUGCUAGUAUUGAGUAGACAGCAGUAGGAUAGCCUGUUUAGGUAAUGCCUGAUAGUAUGAGCUCAGCAUUGUAUGCUAGUACAGUUUCUCAUUAUGAGGACAGAUUUGUGUGAGAUUGUUCCCUUCUUGUCUGAAUGUUGCUUGCUUUGUGCUUUGAGGGGCUUGGAGUAAUGGGAGUUAGCUGUUAGGUGGAUACGUUAAAGUCACAUGUGAUCAGGGUUGAAUAAUCUCAGAGUGUUGGAUUUAACCCUAUUGCGUAGCUCUUGUCUGAGUCCUAACCGUUGUAGGGAUGAGUCCCUUACUCAAAUAAUUAUCCAAGCCUCGUUGCACGUGAUUGUAUUCAGGUAAUGGCUAAUUGGCAUUACAAAGAUGCUUUCGGCAGUUGAGGACUAGUUUGGGUAGUGUCAGAGGUUCCCUAGGGUAAGCCUAGGAUGAGAAUAGCAGUGAUCAGCAGUGGUAUUAGGGAUCUGGUGGAGUCAAAGUUGUCUUUGAAGAAGGUACGGAUAGAUUUGGAAGGGNGUACGGAUAGAUGUGGAAGGUAGUAUGGGCCCGUACUACUGAAAGCAGAGGAUCCGUACCCGAAUUAAGGAGGGCUGAGGCAAGACCAGGGAACUUGUAGUGGAUGUGAUCCCUUUAGAGGUAUCAGUAUCACUAAUGGUUGCAUGUAUGUAUUGCAGAAUGGUGGUACUACGUACGAGGCUAGCAGUUGGCAGUUCAGGAGAGGGAUCGGGUUUGGGAUUAGGUUCCGAGCCAGUAGAUGAGAGGCUAAGCGAGGUCAUCGCGUCAGGAGCACCAGANAUCGCGUCAGAGAUCACCAGAGGCAUCCUUGAGUCGACCCCUAUCAUUUUCGGGUCGAUCAAGGAAGGGAUAGUUGAGCUGAUGGAGGACCGCCUCAGGGCGUUCAGGAGUGACAUGGCAUCUGGCCAGUCAGGAUCUCGCACACUAUCCUUUAAGGACUUCAGGGGCAGUGGUGCACCAGAUUUCCAUGGGGCGAAGAACCCCAUUGCUGACAGACGAUGGAUUGCAGACAUUGAGUCUGCACAGCUUACCAGCUUCUGCCCUGAGAGGUCGAAGGUAUGAUUUGCAGUCGGAUGUCUGAAGGACCGGGCUAGGGAUUGGUGGGAGUCGAUUAGUGACUCUCUAGGAGCCUCGGCUGUUGAGGCUAUGUCAUGGUCAGACUUUGUGAUCCGGUUCAGAGCGGAGUUUGCACCUGCAGUGGAGCUCCAACAGUUACCCAGGGAGUUUUUGGACAUGAGACAGACCACAGAGACUGUGGUGGAGAUCACCGCCAAGUUCCUGGAGAGGGCAUUGUUGGUGCCCCAGUAUGCGGGGGAUGAGGAUAUGAAGAGGACUUGCUAUCAUGACAUGUUGCGAGCCGACAUUCAGGAGCAUGUUAGUUUUUCAGCUUGACCUACCCUGGAUUCCAUGAUUGCCAGGGCUAGGGAGAGGGAGAUCAAUCUGGAGCAUAUCCGGAAGAGGAAGGUAGAGGAAGGGCAGGUUACAGGGCUUCGGGGAAGAAGCCCAAGGAUCAAAUGUUGGGCUGAAAGGCCAACAGAGUCGAGGCCGCUGUAGGAAAUGCGGCAAGGCACAUGAGGGGGCGUGUAGAUUGGGAUCGUCGGGCUGCUACAAGUGCGGCAAGACGGGGCACUUCAGCAGGGACUGUACAACUCCUGCACCGGUUAUUCAGACAUCUGAGUUGCUAUGUUUCCACUAUAACCAGAGGGGCCACAAGAAGGUCAACUGCCCCCAGUUGACAGCAUCCGCGCCAGUGAAGGCGCCAGCUCCAGCGACCCUAUGGAUCACCGAUGGCCGGCAGGGCAAGGCAAAGGCUCCAAUGGUGAGGAGUCGGGCAUUCCAGUUGACUACCGAGGAGGCACGCGCUGCACCCGAUGUGGCAACGGGUAUGAUUUCUUAUCUUUAUGCUUUUAUGAUGCGCUGCUGUGAUUUUGAUAUGUUAUGUAUGUGCUCUGUUUAGGAUCGUUCCACGUGAACGGUAUCCCAGUUCAUGUAUUAUUUGAUUCGGGGGCUACCCGAUCAUUUGUCUCUCUUGCGCUUAGCAAGAAGUUUCCUGAGUCUUCGGGCAUGUUGGAUUGCCCUUUAGAGGUAGAGAUUGCAGAUGACCGAUCAGUGCGAGCAUCGACGGUAUUCCGAGACUGUGUGCUGAGAUUAUUCAAGGAGAGUUAUCUGGUAGACCUGGUCCCUAUUCCGUUGAGAGGGAAAAAGGUGAUUAUAGGCAUGGAUUGGUUGAGCCCCAAUGGAGGCAGUGAUAGAUUGCGCAUAACAGUUGGUUCGGAUCAGGACCCCAAGUGGGGGAGAGUUGGUAGUUCAGGUCGAGAGGCCACAACAGGGACCAGCGGUAUGUUCAGCAGCGAGGGCUAGGCAUUACCUUCAGCAGGGUUACGCAGGAUAUGUCGCUUAUGUCAUGGACACCCGGGUAGCGGGUAAGGCGAUAGUGGGCGAUAUGCCCGUGGUGCGAGAGUUUACGGAUGUAUUCCCCGAGGAGUUGCCAAGAAUACCUCCGGAGAGGCAGGUGGAGUUCAGGAUCGACGUAGUCCCUGGUGCGGCUCCGAUAGCCAAGACACCGUAUCGGCUGGCUCCUCCUGAGAUGCAGGAGUUGUCCACACAGUUGCAGGAGCUGUUAGACAAGGGAUUCAUUAGACCGAGUAGUUCUCCCUGGGGAGCCCCGAUUCUGUUUGUGAGGAAGAAGGACGGGUCGCAUCGGAUGUGUAUAGAUUACCGGGAGCUGAACAAGGUAACGGUGAAGAACUGUUACCCACUCUCGAGGAUUGAUGACCUCUUUGACCAGCUGCAGGGAGCAUCUUGGUUCUCCAAGAUUGAUCUGCGUUCAGGAUACCAUCAGAUGAGGGUCAGAGAGGAGGAUGUACAGAAGACUACGUUUCAAACGCGCUAUGGCCACUACGAGUUCGUGGUGAUGCCCUUCGGGCUCACCAAUGCUCCUGCCGCGUUCAUGGACCUCAUGAACUGCGUGUGUAGACCGAUGUUAGACCUGUAUGUGAUAGUGUUUAUUGAUGAUAUCUUGGUUUACUCCAAGACGCAGGAGGAGCACGAGGAACAUCUGCGAGAGGUUCUAGAUACUUUGAGGAGGGAGAACUUGUAUGCUAAGUUCUCCAAGUGUGAGUUCUGGUUGCGCGAGGCGCAGUUCCUUGGGCAUCUCGUCAACCAGAACGGGAUCUCAGUGGACCCGGCCAAAGUGGAGGCCGUGAUGAGAUGGGAGGUUCCGAAGUCUCCAUUUGAGAUUCGAAGUUUCCUAGGAUUAGCCGGCUACUAUCGGAGAUUCAUCCAGGAUUUCUCCAAGAUAGCCGUACCCCUGACCAGGCUAACAAGGAAGGUCGUGGUCUUUCGUUGGGGGCCUGAGCAGCAGGCCGCGUUCGAGACACCGAGACAGAGAUUGUGCGAGGCGCCAAUCUUAGCCCUACCAGAGGGCAUGGAGGAUUUUGUUAUGUACUGCGAUGCGUCCAUCUCAGGAUUGGGCGCAGUAUUGAUGCAGAGAGGGCAUGUCAUCGCCUACGUGUCGAGGCAGCUGAAGCCUCACGAGGCGAACUACCCAACGCAUGAUUUGGAGCUGGGGGCUGUUGUAUUCGCCUUCAAGAUUUGGCGUCAUUACCUCUAUGGGGUUCGCUGUACCAUCUACACGGACCAUAAGAGUUUGAGGUACCUCACGGAUCAACCGAAUCUAAACAUGAGGCAGCAUCGGUGGAUGGACGUGGUAAAGGAUUACGACUGUGAGAUCCUUUAUCACCCGGGGAAGGCCAAUGUGGUGGCCGAUGUGCUUAGCCGCAAGGCAGCGCCAAUCAGGGAUAUAUGCCUGAGGAUGAUACUGGUGACUCCGUUGUUCGAGCGGAUUCGGGAGGCCCAGCAGGAGGCCAUGAAGGAGGAACAUCGGAAGANNGGAUCGUGGGGUAGGUUUCCUCCUUCGACUAUGACAGCCAAGGAUUGCUAACACUACACCGUAGGGUGUGGGUGCCAUACUACGGGGGUGUGCGCUAGGUUCUGAUGGAGGAGGCGCACAAAUCUCGGUUCUCCAUUUAUCCUGGGGCGACAAAGAUGUAUAGGGAUCUUCGUCUGGAUUAUUGGUGGCCCUGCAUGAAGCAGGAUGUGGCAUGGUUCAUGGAGAGGUGCUUGACCUACAGGAAGGUCAAGGCUGAGCAUCAGAGACCUUAUGGCAAAAUGCAGCCGUUGGAUAUUCCGCUGUGGAAAUGGGAAGACGUCACGAUGGAUUUUAUCACAAAGCUUCCCAGGACCGCGCGGGGAGUGGAUUCGAUCUAGGUCAUCGUUGAUCGAUUGACCAAGAGCGCCCAUUUUAUCCCGAUUCAAGAGAGCAUCUCGGCAGAGAAGUUGGCCGACAUCUAUAUCCGGGAGGUGGUGGCACGGCACGGUGUGCUAGUUUCUGUGAUUUCGGACAGGGAUGUGCGGUUCACUUCCAGGUUUUGGAAGAAAUUUCAUGACGAGCUGGGUACUCAUCUGCAUUUUAGCACCGCCUUUCACCCGCAGACGGAUGGUCAGAGCGAGCAGACCAUCCAGACCCUGGAGGAUAUGCUACGAGCAUGCGUGUUAGACUUCGGGGGUAGUUGGGAUACCUACCUCCCAUUGGCAGAGUUCUCCUAUAACAAUAGUUAUCAUGCGAGCAUUGACCGUCCUCCCUUCGAGAUGCUAUAUGGGAGGAAGUGCAGGACACCAAUAUGUUUAGGCGAGGUUGGCCAGAGGGUGAUGGGGAGCAUUGAGGUAGUGCUCAAGACGACAGAGAAGAUUCAACAGGUCUGGAGCAGGCUUCAUACUGCUCAGAGUCGGCAGAAAAGCUAUGCUGAUAAGCGCCGAUCAGACCUGGAGUUCCAGGUCGGGGAUAUGGUUCUCAUGAAGGUGUCGCCUUGGAAAGGCGUUAUCCGAUUCAGGAAACGGGGCAAGUUGGGCCCCUGGUACAUUGGAUUGUUCAGGGUUGUAGCCCGGGUGGGAAAGGUGGCUUAUAGGCUGGAUUUUCCAGCCAAACUCAGUCAGAUACACAACGCUUUCCAUGUUUCUCAGCUGCGGAAGUGCCUAGUGGACGCCUAAGCAGUGGUUUUUGCAUUUUGGCCUUGGACUCAGCGAGUCGAAGGACCAACUCACCGAGCAGAAGCGGGAUGAGACGCGGGGUUUAAGCUGUGGACUCGACGAGUCAGGUCCCGGACUCGACGAGUAGGCCUUUUCUGGACAAAAAUCCUAACCCGAGGGUUUGCACCGUAUUUAAACACCUUAACUCAGCCUCCUUCGUCCCAUUAGCUCCCAGAAGACCCUCAUAGCAAACCCUAGCCGUUAUUGAAGCAAUCUAAGGCAUUUGGAGUGAUUUUGGUGUUUUGUGAUCCAAGGAAGGAAGGGAAAUCUUGAAGGAUCAAGAGGAGGCUAGAGGGAUCCGGUUUUGAGCAUCAUUUGCAUUCUACAGAAGGUAUAAAGUCUAUACCUUGUUUGUUCUUUUGAUAGAUCCCAUUUUGUGGAGUUUUAGGGAUUUUCUAAGCCAUUUUGGUCACCAACCAUGAUUGCAAGCAUGGUUUGGGGUUGAUGUUUCAGAUCUAGGUCCUUAGAGGGGUUACAAGUCAGAAAGGAGUGACUUUUGCACUCAAAGGAGGCCCCAUGCAUUGUAAGAGCUUGUUUUAGGACCUUUUGAGCUCAAAGUCCCAUGCAAGCAUGUAAAGGUUGUAACUUUAUGUGCUAGAUCGAUUGUAGAAGCAUAGAUCCAUCUUUUGAUCAAGGGUUGUACAUCAGAAAUCGAAGUUUUAGUGAAGGGAUGUGACCGACUCGACGAGUCCAUUCUUGGACUCGACGAGUCCAAGGUUUCUGCCCCAUAUCAGUUGAGGGUCAAAAGGACCCAGUUGAGUGUGGAAAGGUUUUAGGGAGUACUGGGGAGUGACCCAACAUUCCGGACUAAGCCAUUGUCCUGGAAAUUCAUGNGGCAAGUGCAUGAACGUACUCGGCAGUCCAAGGCAAUCUUCUUAUGGAUGAAGAUGAACUCGACGAGUUGUUCAUACAACUCUGCGAGUCAAGGACAGGACUUGUGUAUCAGUUGGAAAUGAACUUGACGAGUUGUUCAUACAACUCGGCGAGUCGGAUGAAGAUUCAAUCGAUGUUCAAGUAGAAGGAAAACUCGUCGAGUCAUCGCCUAACUCGAUGAGUAGAGACGGGUAUAGGGUCAAAUGGAUGGAUAGGGACUCGGUGAGUUGGCGAACCAACUCGGCGAGUCAGGUCAACUAGAAGUUGACUUUGACUUGUACUUGGUCAGGGGUAAAAUGGUCAUUUUACCCUAAGUACAGUUAGCAGUGUAUGACUAAGUGUUUUGUGGGAAUUAUAGCCGGAGGAUUUCCGGAGCAGCAGUGGCAGCAGUCAGAGGAUUCCCGCACAGAUCAACAGCUACUUCGAGGUGAGUUGCCUUCCAGUAGCGGUGGGUCUAAGGCCACAAUGUCGGCCCACCAGUAGGAGACGUAUGUUAGAUGAUGGUCUUUGUGAUAUCAUCUGGGUUUGCUAUUAUCUGUUAUGAUACGAGCCAGUACGAUAUGUUAUAUGCUAGUAGCGGUAGGGGAGAUAGUCCACGAGAUCAUCGAUGGACAGGGCCAAAGGGGUAGUCAUGCCCAGUUAUGUUAGACCGAAUGUGAUUAUGUGAUACAUGUUAUGUGGUGGUAGUAGAGGGGUGAAAUAGUCCCCAGUAUCCGGUCGAAAGGACCGAAGGGGAGGCUAGCACCCAGAUAUUCUAGGCAGUAUUCGGUGGAAAGGACCGAAGGGGAGGCCAGCACCCAGAUAUGUUAGGUAGUAUCCGGUCGAAAGGACUGAAGAGGUAGGUCGGGCACCAGAUAUGCAUGAUAGUAUUUGUAUGUUAUGUGGAUUUAUGGUAUAUGGUACAAUGGGGGAACUCACUAAGCUUCAUGCUUACAAUUUACAGUUUUGUUUUCAGGUACCUCUUCUUCGAAGGGGAAGGAGCUAGAGCGGUAGCUGCACAUCCUACACGCACAUUGUUUUCCGCACCAUGAGUUAUUCUGGGAUUUUGUACUCUAACACUAUGGUUGUUUUAUGUUUUGGUUUUCAGACACGAAAUAUGUUUAUCAAAUGAUAUGAUCAAACGAUGUUUAUUCACAAAUGCUUUCCAAAGUAUUGAUUUAAAAAUGAGAUUUUUGGACGUGAAAAUUAGGUCGUUACAGAAAUGAUGGGCAUGGGUGUAAGUACAAGGAUUUCAUAGCAUCCAAACCACCAUGUCUAUCCGGAAGCCCGACACCGGUGCAAGCUAUGGACUGGAUCUCCGAAAUGGAGACAAUGUUUGAAAGUUGCGAAUGUAGCAACAGGCAGAAGACCGCUCUUGCGAUCCCUCUGCUAAAAUCUGGCGUGUUGAGUUGGUGGAAACUGUUAGCUGACUCUAUGCCCAAGGGAGAAGUGAGCAAAAUGUAUUGGGAAGACUUUGUGGAACAACUGAAACUGCAAUACUGCUCUGAGCAGGACCUUCUGGAAAUCAAUAAUGAGUUUUAGAAUUUGAAGAAGCGGAAAUUGAGCGUUACAUCACGAUUACUCCCGAAAACAUGUUGGUCGUAUUUUGAAUGAAUGUAGUUGAUCAGGCUACAUUCACUCCUAAUACGACUACAUAACUGCCCGAGUUUAAUAGCGAUGUUAAAAUCCUCCAAAGACUUUUACUAUUCUUGUUGUGUUAUUACUCUAAAAUGCACACAAAGGUAUGUAUUUUAAUUAUUAUGUUCAGAGUUGUUUAGACCCAUUGUAUUUAUAGUUGCAUAUCCUGUAUGAUUAGAUAUGCUAGUUCACUAUAAACAAUACUCUGGUACAAAUGUGUCACACCCCCGAACUAGACGGCGGAAACGUCCGGGGGCUUGUGCGUGACUUCAUCUUGAAAUAUCAUUACAGUGAAUAUAAUUGAAACAUAACAUCAUCAUCAUCACACAUGUAAUAUAACAACAUUCAUUGUUUACAUCGAGUAUUGUAUUUGAAUAUUACAUGCCAAAAUAGUAAGAGUAUGAUGAAACAAAAUAUAACACAAUAUCUAUUAGUUUGUUUUGUUCAUCCUGCUUCAACGGUUUCAAGAGAAUACAAGUUAUUUUGAAAACGGUCAACAUAAAAAUGUUGGUGAGUUCAUAAGCAUGUAUGUGAAAAUGAUUUGUAUAACUUUGAAACCACUAGAAAAUCCUAUAUUUUCUGCAAACUGUUUAGUAUGUUUGUGUCAGAUCUUGUAUUAAUGCAUGUAUGUUAUUGUUUAUUCGACUGAAAGGGUAAAGAGAAUGUAGAGGGAAUGUAAAGAGCAUAUAAAGAGAAUGUUCCCAGACAACCCGAUGUUGUCUGGAAAAGAGAAAGCUACCAUACCAACCCCCGAGGUUGAGUACCAGUACGGGUAUGUUUCCGAGUAAUCCAAGAGAAAAGAGAAUGGUCUUCCGUAAACUUCAUAAUGUUAAUUCCUCUAAGUGAGCCGUCAUAACCAUACUAAAUAAUGACAAUUUCGCCUGUCUUGGCGUUGUUGGACGCCGAUUUUGAUUAUAAGGUAUUUGUCACCCUAGACUGAGUUAGUCUAACUGUAGCGAACAACUCAUGUGUGGGGUGUCAUCCCCGUAUAGAUCUAUACACAAAUCCCCGCUCUCCCUCCAAGAGACUCUGGUUAUAACUACAGGCUACGAUCGUACACUUAAUAGGUGCCAACCGACAAAACUCAAUAGAUCCUUCAUCGAAUUUACGCGAAAAAAAGUAUAAACUCAUUCUUGGUCCAAUGAACCAUGUAUGUGAACCACUAAGGCAUCGCUAAAGAUGUAAAUCAUUUCAAUGCCCAAUUGGAAUGAGAUUAUAUAACAUGGGCCCGAAAUAUAUAUGUUAGGACAACUAAGACCCAUUUCACAGGUAAAGUAUUGACAGGCCCAAAUAGCACACAAAUAGUAUCCAAGGUCCGUCACACAUGUUAAUGGGUCAAUGAGGCCCAAUAAACAUAUAAAUAGUAUACAUGACCUAUCAAAUAUAUAAAUGGGCCACUAAGGCCCAAUAACUUAGAAAAUGAUCAAAUUAAUCUAUUUGUUAGUUUAUUGUUGGUUUUGGUUCAAGUAUUCACUAAAAUAGCAUAAAAGCCCACUUUUUGUAAAAAUGACGUUCUUGGCCCAAUAAGCCAAAAAUGUACAAUUAAGACCCAAUUUUUGUAAGAAUAACACUUUAGUCUCCAUUUUGUUCAAAACUUGUUUUGAUGACUAGUUUGUGGUAAAAAUAGCAUUUUAAACCCAUUUUUUUCAAAAAUAUCAUUUUUGGCUUGAUUUUUGUGAAAACACACAUUUUUUUGGUUUUGGGUUUUUCUGACCUAGUUGUUGGAAAAUUCGUAGAAAAAUCAUCGUAAGUCGAAAUUUGGAUCCGUAAAUUCUGGAAGUUUGGAAAUUUUAUCUACCUUGUUCAAAAUUUUUCUCAUAAUUUUUGAUGGCCUCAAACUAGUGUGAAAUCACUCACCUUCACAGGUUGGUACGAAUAUUUCAAAUAUGAUAGACAGUUUUGUAAAAUUCGCCAAAUAUUAUAGAAAAAUCGUAUGAAAACGUGAGAGUAGUCAUUUUAAAGGUAUAAACCUGAACUUUCAGCAUGUAAAACAGUUUUGAAAAAUAUUAUCAUUAAGGUGGUCAAAAUAGUUCGAGAUUGGACCAAAACUUUUAUGUCAAGGGCUGAAUUUUGAGUUUAGUUUAUAGAUCUUUGAACACUACACUCAUUUUUGAUAUUUGAAGUGUAUAAAUCCGAGAUAUACUAGUUUAAAUGUGUUAUAUGUGAUAACACAUACUUUUCUCAAGGUGUUCAUGAAGAUCCAAGUGAUAAACUUCAUAUUCUUAACAUAUUCUUAGGUUUAUGAAGUAAACAACACAUAAUCACCAAAUGGUUCAAGAAAACACAGAUAAUGAUGCAUAUGCACAUAGAUCUACACAUAAGACUUGUAUUCUCCCCCCAAAAACAAGUAAAAACUGAAAACAAGGGGUAUGAACUCACCUUGGGGUUUGGAUUCGGUUUUUGAUGAAGAAGUGAGAAGAUCUCGGCUUUAGCAAGCCUCUUGAGGAGGUUUUUGAACUUAGAUGGUUCUAAGAACAUGAUCCACAAAAAUAUGGGUGUAAGAGGAGAUUUUUGAAGAGAUCAAGAAUUUAAGUCAUAUAUCUAAGCAAGAACUUACCAAAGUUGAUGAUCUUGAAGAAGAAUCUCUUGAAGCUACACCCAAAAUCUCGAAAAUUUUGGAGGAAAAAGGGAGGUGUUCUAGAGAGUGUUUUGAAGAUGUUUGAAAAGGAAAAUGAGAGAGGUGAGGGGAGGCGUUUUGGCUGAUAAUAAGAGGAGAGAGAGAGAGAGAGAGAGAGAGAGAGAGAGAGAGAGAUGGUGAGGUGAUGUUUGCAUGGAAGACCACCAUGCAAACAUGAGGUGUCUAAUGCACAAAAUUCCUCCUUUUUACUUUUUUUUUGUCUAAUAAGUAUAAUGGGCUGGAAAUUUGGGCUUAAGAGAGAUGAGGAUGAAAUGAUUUGGCCCAUUAUUGAUCUUGUUCGAAUUUUUAUGAAGCUCCAAGCAUUUUUCGGCCCAUUAGGCCCUUAAGAAGGUUCACGGCCCAAAAUGGUAAAAUGAAUGGGUUUAUGGCCCAUUAAGGUUAAUUAAAUCAUUUAUGACCCAUCAUGGUCCAUUGGAGGUAGAAUGAAUCAUUCUAGGGCCAAAUGGCCCAAAAUGUUAUAGAUUGAUGAAUUGAUGAUUUAUUGGUCCCUUAGGCUCUAUAAGAGAAUCCUAGUCCAUAAUGAACUUGAGUCGGGAUUUCUAGGGUUUCCAACCGUUAUUUAAACAUAUGAGAUGUAUUUGAACGAGCAUAGAGUAUAGUAUUCACUUAGAGUACAAGUGUUUACAAUGGAUGAUGUUUACAUGAGAAUAGAAUUUCCUAGCAAAAUGCCAGUUGUGACAGUUAAUACCUUCUUUAUCCCUUAGAACCUUUCUUUAGCUUAAUUUGGGCCAUUAUCACCUUGCAUGUACGUAAAGUUUGCAACUUUACGUAAAAAGUAUGCCUUAGGAGCUUGGAUCUGCAUUAUAGAGCUUUAAUGUGGCUUAAAAAUCGCUUGGAUGAAGAAAGGACCGAAGGGACUCGACGAAUUGCAUGGCCAACUCGAUGAGUCCGAUGAAGAUUGUCGUGCAAGGAUUUAUGCAUGAACUCGGCGAGUCAGUAGAAUGACUCGGCGAGUCAGCUAGGGUUAUCCCGACAUUUGGACAUGCAUGAACUUAACGAGUUGCAGGGAAACUCGACAAGUCAACGGGGGAAUUUCACAACUUCUCGAGUUCAGGAAGGACUUGACGAGUCAGUGAACUGCACUCGACGAGUCAGGUUAACAUGGACUGUUGACCUUGACCAUUGACUUGGACUUUGACCAAGGGUUGACUAUUUAACUUCUGGGGUAUUUUAGUAAAUUGGAAAUUUAUGGAAAUGGCCAUACGGUAAAUAUAGGUGGUGGAGUUCGUGGUCGUGGUUCGAGAGUUUGAGAUCAUCACUUCAAUUCUACAGUUGAGAGGUGAGUUUUCCUCACUAUACUCAAGGGUCUAAGGCACCAAGGCCAACCAUUUUGGAUCGCUAUCCUGAUAUGUUAUAUGCUCGAGUAUUGUAUGAUCCGUUAGAUCAGUAUCCUGGUAGAUAUGAUGUUAUAUGUUGUUAUGAUCUGUUAGAUCAGUAUCCUAAUAGAUAGGAUGUUAUAUGUUGUUAUGAUCCGUUAGAUCAGUAUCCUGGUAGAUAGGAUGUCAUAUGUUGCUAUGAUAUGUUAGAUCGGUUUGUCUGUCUAUAGACUGUUAUGUGAUUAGUUGAUAUAUGUGCACAUGUUUGAUUGGUGAUUGAGGCUUAUCUGCUUUGUUCGAAAGCCAAUAGACCUGGGCAUUCCAACCCGAUGGUUGUGGGUCAUGAGUAUUCCAUCUCGAGGAUGAUUGGACUCGUAGUAUGUGGGCAUUCCAACCUAUUGGUUGUGGGCCUGGGGUAUUCCAUCAUGAGGAUGAUUGGACCCAUAGAAUGUUGGUAUUCCAACCGAAUGAUUGAGGGCCUGGGGUAUUCCAACCCGAUGGUUGACUGGACCCAUAGUAUGUUGUUCAUGAUUAUAUGUAUAUUGUUAUGUGUAUGGGUAUUUUGGGGGAACUCAAUAAGCUUUGGGCUUACAGUUUCAGUUUUGGUUUUAGGUACCUUAGAUGAUCGCGGGAAGGCAAAGGCGUGAUCGUACAACUCCUCACAUUUUAUGACUUUGUUUCUAGAAUACGCUGAUAUGGAACUAUUUUGAAAACAAAUUUGUAAUGAUUAAUGGUUUUGAAACGUUUUUAAAAUUUUAAAUUUGGCAUGAUUUUUAUGGGUGUUACACCACCCACAUUGGUCAGUGUCCAAUUAAAGAAGCAUAAUGCUCCAACACAUGCACCAGUAAUGACAUCAUUACCUACUCCUACUGAAUGUACUGGACCGAGCAUCGUUUUCCCCUUCUCUGUUCAAGUUCUAAAAAACGUAACCAAAAAUAUCUCUAAUGAACACGAACUGGGUCGCAGUGGAUUUUGGGUUUGUUUACAAGAGUCAAGUACACGAUGGAACAAAAGUUACAGGAAAAGGAAUGGAAGCAGGAGCUAUAUUGAUGAAUUCCAAGCAUAAAUAGUUUUACUAUCCAAAGUUCUACAUUGGCGCCUGAUGGAGAGAAAUCGUUGAGUUCAUGUUAGGAUUUAGGGCAAAGAAGGGAUGAAGCAGAUAUAUUGGCGGCGAUGAGAGGGAAAAUGGGUUAGGGAAAAGAAGGGAAUGAGUAGUUGGCAAUGAUGCGAGAGGAGGAAACAAAUGGUAGUACGCACGCCCCUUCCUCGCCUUGCAAUCAAUACAAAAAUCGAUACUUGGAAAAUGAUGAUAGUUCAAUUGAGCACCAGAGGAUUUCUUAUUUGAACUUGAUGUAGAAAUCGUGAAUUUCUUUUUUGUGUGCUUUUGAUCACCAGAUUCUUUAUGAAAGAAAGGGAAUAUUGAUUAUUGUUUAAUUGGGUUUGUGUUUGUUAAGAGAGAGAGAGAGAGAGAGAGAGAGAGAGAGAGAGAGAGAGAGAGAGAGAGAGAGAGAGAGAGAGAGAGAGAGAGAGAGGGUUCUCUAUUAUUUUUUAAUUGUUAAAAUAAAUAAAUAAGUAUUAAAUUAAAAAAAUGAAAGUUAAAUAUUAUAGUAAUUUUAUUUUUCGAAAGGACUAUUUUCACAUAAAAACUAAUAACGCAAAGCCAAAAAAUGAAAUUGAUGAAAACCCUCAAAACAAAUACAUAUCAAUUUUGUCUUUUUAAAAAAUCUUGAAGAGCUUAGUUAUCAUCUUCAUUUUCUCUUGUACUUUGACUUGAAAUUUAUGGUUACAAAUAAUAAAUGCUUUAUUUUAUAUUUUCAAAUUUAUUUAUCUUAUAACCUAAAACGUCUAAUAUUUUUAGGAUAACGGUAGACAAGUAAACACGUCCAACUAUUUACAUUAAUUCAAAAAUCAUUUAUAUAAGAUAAUAUUUUUUAUAAGUCAAUAGGUGUUCAACUAUAUACGUUUUGUUUUUUACUAUAAUUUAUCAUAAGAAUAUAAGUGCAUAAAAUAGUUAUUAUAAAUAAGUGAGUGACGAACCAUUAUCAUCAAAUGGUUGCUAUCCAUACAAUGUGAUUUCUGAUGACGUGGACCAAUAACAAAUAGCUUAAGAUUUCAUUUCUCCCACACUUGUCCAUUAUUACAAAGCAUCGGCCAAAGUUCCAUUUCAUCACCCACACACCGGAAUUAACACUGCCGCCGCUACAACCACCACCACUACCGCCGCUGAAUCCACCACGAAACACUCUCACACACCUCUACUCUCUCCCCGAUUACUAUUUUUGUCUCCAUUACGAUCAUACAUUUCUGUUUUUUUUUUUCCCUUUUCCGACUCGAUUCUGCUUAAUCGUCUUUACAAAACCAAGCUUUUUUUGUCAUGGCACUUUGUGCGUUUGCAUUCCCUGGACAGUUGAAUCACCGGUCGCUUACUUCACAUACGCCUGUGCUUCAACAUUGCUUCUUUGGAACGGAUCUACAACAGCCUCAAUCUUCACACAAGACCUUCAAUCAGGUUCGAUAUGUUCAGCUUUCAUGAUUUACUUUGAGUUUGUGAUUCGUUAGAAGAAGGGUUUUAUUGGAUUUUGAUUGCUUUCGAGCAGGGAAGUAAAAAAGUAGGUGGGGUUCGAGCGACACUGUCGGAGAGAGCUGAGUAUUACUCGCAGAGACCUCCGACUCCACUUUUGGACACUAUCAACUACCCAAUUCACAUGAAAAAUCUGUCAAUUAAGGUAAAUUUCAUCUCACCCACCUUCUAAUUUUGCAAUAAUAUUACUAAAUUUACUUAAAACGAAGUGUUAACGUUAACUAAUCAAGCCAAUUUUGGAUUUGAGUAAAAGACUGGUUUGAGUAGGAAUUGAAUUGAGUAUGCUAACGAUUAUGAUUUCGAUUUUGAAUUUGAAUCUUGAAUUGCAAAUGGGAUUUCAAAACCGUUAAUCUUCACACUGUUUGAUGCAGGAAUUGAAGCAAUUAGCUGAUGAGCUUCGAUCUGAUGUGAUCUUCAAUGUUUCAAAGACCGGUGGCCACUUGGGUUCGAGCCUUGGUGUGGUGGAGCUCACGGUGGCUCUUCAUUAUGUCUUCAACACCCCUCAAGAUAAGAUCCUUUGGGAUGUCGGUCAUCAGGUGACCUAUUAUGGUAUUAUACUUUUAGAAUACUGUCCCACAUGCUUGUCCUACCAGUAAAAAGAAUAAUCCAAGCUGCACAUCACCUUUUUUACUAUAGGAUAGUUGAUUUAUUUUUACCUAGGUUGUGGGACCCAUUUUGAUUUACUUUUUUUUUUGUUAGUUGUGGGACCCAUUGGUGAUACAUUGUGAUUUACUUUUUUUCAUGUUGGUUGUGGGACCAUUGGUGGUACUUUUAUUUACUUUUUUCAUGUUGGUUGUGAGACCUUGAUAAUGCCAUUUGCUUUUUUCGUGUUGGUUGUGGGACCAUUUGUGGUACUUUUAUUUACUUUUUUCAUGUUGGUUGUGACUUGUGAGACCUUGAUACUGCGAUUUACUUUUUUCAUGUUGGUUGUGGGACCCUGAUACUGUGAUUGUGGUUGUAUUUGAAUCGAACUAUAAUGUGUUUCGCAGUCUUACCCACAUAAAAUCUUGACCGGAAGAAGGGACCGAAUGCACACGAUGAGACAGACAAACGGGCUGGCAGGGUUCACCAAACGUGCUGAAAGCGAACAUGAUUGCUUUGGCACAGGGCACAGCUCUACCACCAUUUCAGCAGGGUUAGGUAAUUAACUAAUUUCUUCAAUUUAAUCAUUAAAUCUAACAUGUUGUUGGCUUUUUAUUACUUUUUAGGGACAAACGUUAUCCUUACUUUUAAAUUUUAAUACCUAAUUCAUGUUCAUUUUGAAACGAGCAGGAAUGGCUGUGGGAAGGGAUUUAAAAGGAGGAACAAACGAUGUGGUUGCUAUUAUUGGUGAUGGUGCCAUGACAGCUGGACAAGCUUAUGAAGCCAUGAACAAUGCUGGAUAUUUGGAUUCAGACAUGAUUGUGAUUCUUAAUGACAAUAAACAAGUCUCAUUACCUACUGCAAAUCUUGAUGGGCCUAUACCUCCUGUUGGAGCUUUAAGCAGUGCCCUUAGUAGAUUACAAUCUAAUCGCCCUCUUAGAGAAUUACGUGAAGUUGCCAAGGUUUGUUAUCACUUCAUAAUAAUAAAUUCUGUUUUAUUAUCUCUAAAGAGUCUGUUCCUUUUUUACUUAAUGGGCUUAAUGGGUUAAGCACUUAAUUUGGAAUGCAGGAAGUUACAAAACAAAUUGGUGGGCCGAUGCAUGAACUUGCUGCUAAAGUUGAUGAAUAUGCUCGUGGAAUGAUUAGUGGUUCGGGUUCAUCAUUAUUUGAAGAACUUGGUCUAUAUUACAUUGGGCCUGUUGAUGGACAUAGCAUUGAUGAUCUUGUUGCUAUUCUUAAAGAGGUUAAGAGUACUAAGACAACGGGUCCCGUUCUUAUUCAUGUAAUCACUGAGAAAGGACGAGGAUACCCUUAUGCUGAAAAAGCAGCCGACAAGUACCAUGGUACUUCUACUUCCUUUGAUCUCAUUAACAUCAAAAAAUAACAACAUACUUUCAUUUCUUCCUAUUAUAGCAUCUUACUAUUGUUUCUUCCUAUUACAAUAUUAUACUUUUAAAAAUCUAUCCAUGCAUAGCAAAAUCAUCAAAAUACAAAGAAAUUUUGAAUGUUGUAAUUGGGUAGCAUUGGCAAAGCAUAAUGCCCUAAAAAGAAAAAAAAAAUUGAAACUACAAUGCAAUAAUUGGGUAGACUUUUUUAAGUACAAUGACUUAAGAAGAAGUAUAAAAGGACAAUGAUGUAAUAGUAAAAAUGAAAGGAAAACCUCAAUUGUUUGAUAUUUCUAUAUUGAGUUAUUUAAGUAAAAAGAAACAAUAUUUUAGUCGAUUAUUGUAUCUGUUUCAGGUGUGGGGAAGUUUGACCCUGCAACGGGAAAACAAUUUAAAUCCAGUGCUCCGACUCAAUCAUACACGACUUAUUUUGCGGAGGCGUUGAUUGCGGAAGCGGAGGCGGAUAAGAAAAUCAUCGGAAUCCAUGCGGCGAUGGGCGGCGGAACUGGGAUGAAUCUGUUCCUGAGGCGAUUCCCAAGUCGGUGUUUUGAUGUCGGAAUUGCAGAGCAACAUGCGGUUACUUUCGCUGCUGGAUUGGCGUGUGAAGGCCUCAAACCAUUCUGUGCAAUUUACUCUUCCUUCUUACAGCGAGGUUAUGAUCAGGCAUGUCAUUCCUUCUUCCCCUUUUUUACCCUACAAACUUUCUUCGACUAUUUUGGUCUUUUUUACCCUAAAACCCAAUUAAUCUUUAUGCUAUUGGUUGUGGUGUGUUAAAACAGGUGGUGCACGAUGUUGAUUUGCAGAAGCUACCAGUGAGAUUUGCAAUGGAUAGAGCGGGCCUUGUUGGCGCAGAUGGCCCCACACAUUCAGGGUCAUUUGAUGUCACUUACAUGGCAUGCCUCCCUAACAUGGUGGUGAUGGCACCUUCCGAUGAGGCUGAGCUUUUUCACAUGGUGGCAACCGCCGCCGCCAUUGAUGACAGACCCAGCUGUUUCCGGUACCCACGAGGGAAUGGAAUCGGCGUGCCGUUGCCACCUGGAAACAAAGGCAUUCCUCUCGAGGUACUUUCUUCUUCUUUUUAUAACUUUAAGCAAAAUUACCUUUUUGUCCCCCAUGGUCGAUGAUGUAUUCAUUUAUUUUUUUUAUGUGGAAAAUAGAUUGGAAAAGGGCGAAUAAUGCUGGAAGGGCAACGCGUAGCACUUCUAGGCUAUGGAACAGCUGUUCAGAGCUGUAUGGCUGCAGCCGAAUUAGUAAAAGAUCGUGGCUUAAAUAUAACCGUUGCAGAUGCGCGUUUCUGUAAGCCAUUAGACCAUGCUCUUAUUCGUGCCCUUGCAAAGUCACAUGAGGUCUUGAUAACGGUUGAAGAAGGGUCUAUUGGAGGUUUCGGGUCUCAUGUUGCACAUUUUAUGGCAUUAGAUGGCCUUCUUGAUGGAAACUUAAAGGUACACAUACAUACAUACAUACAUACAUACAUGCUACUUUUUCUUUAUGUCCUAUUAAAUCUAUUAAGUAAAAAAAAAAAAAAACAACACAUCGUUUCUUUUUAUUGACAAAACAUGGAACUAAAGCUUUGAAUUCUGCAGUGGAGACCGUUAGUGCUUCCGGACCGUUACAUAGACCAUGGUGCACCCGCGGACCAAUUGGCUGAAGCCGGGCUAACCCCAUCACAUAUAGCCGCAACCGUAUUCAAUGUGCUUGGGAAAACACGAGAGGCUCUUGAGGUUAUGUCAUAGAGUGUUUUCUUUUGAUGUUGUAAAUGUAGAAAUACAGAUGCACGUGUUAUUUAUUUAUCUGGAUAGAUAUACAAUAGUUGAACAAUUUCUAACAGACUGAAAAUAUAGAGUGAAAAAUUGAAAAAGUCCUGUAAAGGUUCGAUAGUCUAAUGUUAGAGGUGCUUUAUUUUGGGUGCAAAAUUUUACAAAUUGGUCUAUGAUUUUAUAAUGCAUAGUGGUUAGUGAGUUUAAUGUUUUUUUUUAAAAAGAUGAUCAAUUAUAUAAGUAGUGUUAUGCCUUCUGGUGUUCGUUCUGAAAUGACAAACUAACAUAAUUUUUUGUCUAUUUUUAGUGAUCGGAUAAAGAAAAGGCAAGUUAGUUUCUUUAUUUUUGUGCUUAGCAGCAACGUACCUAUGUAUAUCUAUUUUUUUCUAUACAAAUAUGAUGAAAUAUUAGUAAAAUAUUGAAUACUUUUGAGCUCAAUUCAAGUUAAUAAUGUAUAAAAAAGUUAUAUUGAAUUGCAAUAAAAAUAAGAAUAUAUUUGGAAUUCAUCUAAACAAAAACAACCUAUACAUUCUUGUAUUUAAAAUACAUUUAACAAAAUGUAGACUACAAGCUUGCAUUUUAAAUUCAUUUAAACAAAAAGAACAAUAAAAUUAGCAUUAGCCAAUUUUCUAUUAGUUACUUUUUAUUCCCUCCAAAGAAAACAUUACUUGAACAGAUUUUCAUUAGCUAGCCGUGUUAUUCGUUGAUUUUUAUUAGUCAGUUGACCUUAAAUGAGAAUUGAACAAAAGUGUAAAUUAGUUGGGUAUUUUUAAACAAAAUGUUAUGUUUGUUGAGUUUUCUUAAAGAGACAAAACAUGAUUAAGUUUUUUAAACGGUUUGAAAACUUCGUUGUGCUUAAUAAGUCAAUUUUCAUUUAAAUAAAUAUGAAAAACUAACAUAUUAAAACACCGUUAUCUCACACUAUAGAAAAUAUAAAACAUGUUGAGUUCCCAACAACAGCCCUCGUCAAUUCGCCUAUGCAUCGUUGGAAUGUGGGAAAAGGAUGAAAUUCAAGUAAUAUAUUCUAUUAUAUAAUAUACUUUAGUUCUAUAGUUUUAUUUUAUGAUAGAUUAUGGUUUUUAUUCAAUAGAAUAAAAGUAGUAAUAAUCUAAAUUAUUACAACAUAUAUGUUACUUUUUCUAUUUAGGAAUUAGGAUCAAUAUAAAUGUAUAUGUUAUCUUGACCAAAUUUAAUAUAUCGGUUAUGAAUCUUAUCUUUUAAUAUUAUAAUAAUUUAUAGAUUACUAGUCUCCUAUGAAAGAAGACUAGAUUGCCAUGUUUGAGACAUAGAAAUAUGAUAAUAAACGUUUCCCCCGUUUUGUGUUCACCUUAUUCGUUUGCUAGAACUUGUCUAGAUUUUAUUGUUUCCGUCUUGCAUGAUACGCAACAGUUAUCACACGUUAGAGAGUUAAAAAAAAACUUAUAACUGUUCAAAAGUUUUACCCAUGUAUUGUCACUAUCUCCCUAAUUAUCGAAAUCUAUUAUCCACACACUACAAACUAGAGAUGAUUGUUACGACAUUCUAAAUUGUGAAUGGAUUUGAACUUUUUUUAGGCUUGUUAUGAUCACUUUAUACAACACACUGUCGUGGGUAUGCAACACCACACUAUUUGGUGUUUUCCCCAUGUGGUGAGGCCUCAUGCACAAAGCUUUCUACUACAUCUCUUUCCUUUAAAGUGGAUCCAUAUGAGUCGAGAUGAAUCCAUAAGAUGGAUCCAUAUUGAAGAGCAUUACUUUUUGUCAGGUACAAACUCUUGAUACUACAAACAAUUGAUACAUAAUUAUAACUUUUUGGACGGGGUUCAUAACAUUUUUCUAUUUCAUGCAUAAUAUUUUCAAAAUAAUAGUUUCUUUUAAGUGAUCCAACUUACUACAAACACUUAAAUAUACCUAUUAAAAUCGUUUAUAAUCAUUAAAAUUGUUAAUGAUAAAAUUGAACUUAUAAAUGAAAGUGUUUAUAGUAAAAUACAUUUCUUAUAAAUUAAAGAGAAAAUGACUCGAGAGGGUAACCAACCUGAUAUUAUUCACAUUUUGUUUUUAUCAUCGAACUUGUUAUUUGUGUUCAUAUAUAUAUCAUUAUGACUAACUAUUUUAGGUUUAGCUGGUCAAGUUUUCCGGCAAUUUCAGAUGUGUGUUCAUUACAUUCAUUCCAAAAAUCGUUGGUUCAUCAAUCAGAUUUGUGUUCAUCUUAUUCGUUCAUCAGACUUGUGUUCAUCAGAUUUGUCUCCAAAAAUUGAUUUUAGAUGUGUGUUCAUCAGAUUCAUUCCAAAAAUCGUUGGUUUCAGAUUUGUGUUCAUCAGAUUCAGGAACGAUUUCAGAUGUGUAUUCAUGGUUCGUUCUAUGUGUUUUUGGUUCGUUCUUGUUCUUGGGACAAUUUUUGAAACUCCAUAAAUCGCAAACCAAAGCUGAUGAAGAACAUGAAAUGAUUUAGAACGAUUUCCGGCACACACACACACACACCCCUUCUUGUUUUCUUAGAUUUGACACACACUCCAUGGAUAAAAUCGAUUUGAAGGUCAAGCUCUGGAAAAUGGGUUUGAAGUUAUAAUCAUGGUAGAAAGCAAAUCUAGAAAUCUAUGUGUUCUGGGUUCGUAUUCUUAUUCUUGGAAUGAGUACUGAAACCUUAGAAAUCGAAAACUAAAGUUGAUGAACAACCUCCUAAUGAACGAUUUCUGGAACCAUACAUCUUCAUUUGGGUUUAAACCCACAAAUCUGGAACCAUUUGAGUCUUAACCCACAAAUCUAGAACUCUUCAAACCCACAAAUUUGGAACCAUUCAAAGUCGUUGGUUUCUGGAGAUGACAAAGUCGUUGAAAAAUUCAAGUUUGGCCGGAAACUCGUCGAAGAAGAUGAACGAAGGGUCGCCAGAGAUGACGAAGUCGUUGGAAACCUUGAAUAGCAGGUUGCAAUAAUUAUUGUGAACACCUAAAACAAGUUAAAUGGUAAAUAGUGUACAAAAAAUGACUAAAUGUGAACAAAAACAAAAGUUCAUUACCCUAAUAUGUCAUUUUCCUUAAAUUAAAUGACAAAUUUGAUACUAAGAUAUAUUUCUUAUAUAUUUAUUAAAUAAANAUAUGUAUCUAAGAUUAGGUGUUUAAGACCAUAACUAAAAUUGAUAUAUACUUGAAUUGAUAGUAGCACAGUCCUUUCAGGUUGCCCUCAAACCUAGAAAUUGGACAUGAUGAUUUUAGAUCCCCUAUCUUGACUCUAAGGUCUCUAGCAUGUCCCACCUGCGUUGCUAAUAUCUCACGGGCCUCGCCCACGGGUCUCACCCAACCCAUACUAAUUAGCGACCUUGCCCUUGUUCUCACCUAUCUAGGGCUACGCGAGUCCUAAACCAUCACGGAUCCUCAAAGAACUAUCCUUUCUCGAUCUCCAUCUGGCUGACUAGGAGAUACGAGCCUUGCCCACACUCCGCUAACUAGGAGUUACGGGCCCUCGCCCACACUCCUCUAUCUAAGAGAUACGGGCCCCCGCCCAUACUCCUCUAACUAGCUACUAACAAAUGUUGCAACUAUCCCGCAAUCUUACCACCCUCUCCAUGCUAUCUCUACACUGACUACUAAUCUGAAAACAUCCCAUGCCGGACAUUCCCUCAAUCUGCAUCUUGACUCACUCGAGUCCUACUGGUGAUCCUCCAACCUGGUUUUCCAAACCAGCCAUCAACUAACAUGAAUACUACGGUCAUCCCGUUGCCUCACUACACUUCCCACACUGUCUACCUACUGGUGAAUGCUACGGCUACACCCGCAGACUUACAACAUUCUAACACUAUCUGGCUGCUAGUGAAUGCUAUGGCUACACCCGCAGACUUACAACAUUCUAACACUAUCUGGCUGCUAGUGAAUGCUACAGAUGCACCCGCAGACUUACAACACUCUUGACCUAACACUCAACUACACUUGAGUCUUAACUGGGGCCCUAACCUGGUUCCUGAAACCCGCUUCCCAAAGCCUAGGAAAAACGUAAACCAAUUGUUGGAACGUUUUCUGAACUCUCCGCUCAUCCAAUCCUUAAUCAAAACGACCACUUGACCGUCUCCCGUUCUGACGGAAAAAUCUCUAGCCUGGUCUCCCAACCAGUCAUCAGCUGAUUGUGCAUAUACGAACUCAACUUCGGGAAGUUUUCCCCAACUCCCCGCCCAUAUGCUCCUCCAUCCAAACAGCCACUUGGGCUGCUUUCCUCCUCAAAAAUGAUGCGAACCCAAUCCAGUCUCGCACUUACUUCUGCUUCUGAUCACUCAGGUGGUUCUCCCUCACUUUGAUUCAACUAGCUCCUUACAGCUUACAGCUUGAUAAGGAUUCUCAAUCCUUUUCUCCAUCUAAUGGUCGAUCUGUUGACAACCAAUACUUACUAUUGCUAGUGCUCCAAAACUAACCAAUACCGAAUCCGAACCACUCUGAAAGACUAAAAGAAUACCUUCUGAUCCCCUCUUACACUUGCUACAGUGAUUGCAUCCUGAGAACUUGCUCACAAGGAAAAAUCUUCGAACUACUACUCUAACAUCCAAGGUAUGCAGAUGGCAUAUGACUUAAUCACUAGCAGGAAACAUAACAUUCUGAAAUACACUUACUAACUUCGAUGCAAUACCAUAACAAUAAAAUCAUAAACAGAAGUUGAAUUUGAAAUACAUACCAGCGGUCUAUUGCAACUCGAUCUUGACUUCCUGUGGAACCAUGUGAAUUGAGACCUGAACUCCCUUCCUUCGCGAAGUAUCUGUGAAGAAACCAGAGCUGCCUUAACCACUACACGGGGGCAACCUGCCCUGAUAUGUUCGGGCUGAUGACAAUGAUGACACAACUCUACUUCCAUUGUGCAUUCCUGACGAUUGUAACCCUUCCACCCGCACUUAGAUUUGAUGUGAAUUUUAUCAUGUGUCCCUUUACCCCUUUUGCAUUCACUAUGACCAUUCGGGUCUCUGGCGUCAACUAUUGCAGCGUCCGACUGCUCAACUUGUUGAGCCUGACUAGAGGUCUGCUUCCUCUUCCCUAACUGCCCAUCUAACCCAAUCUCUUGAUCCCGACCUACUCCGACUACCUCAUCAAUCGUCUGAACAGUCGCUGUUUGAUCCUGGAACCUAGCGGUUACUCUAUCCGUAACACGCUCGAUAAUGUCGGGUAACUCCUCACGUACAGCUCGUGAAACCUCCACAUCGAUACAAUCCUGUAGUGGAUUCUCCUAAAGACAAGGUGUGUAACGCACUUCCAAUCCCUGGUGACAAGAGCUAAUAACGGGACCCUCCCUUUCAAGGGAUCCUAGAGAUCCAUAGACAUUGGGCCCCAGAGGAGCUCCUAACAUGGCCACCAUCUCAGUGCAGAAGGCUCCCAACCUUUCAUCCAAAAUCUCUAAAAUACCUUCCUUGACCGUACCAAAGAUCACAAAAGUCUGGUCUAAAAUACUGCACAUAAUCUCUGCUGAUACUAACACUCUCAUUUGCUCCCUGAGCUGCUUGGCUCCUGAACUCGAGCCUGACUCCUCACUAGCACCUGAACUGCCCACUUGCCUACCCCGUAGCAUCACUAUACUGCAUGAGUCAUAACAUAACUAUCAUCAAAAUACUCAUUACUACUGAAGGAUCACACACUCACUACAAGUUCCCCGAUUUAUCUUAGCCCUUCUCGAAUCGAGUAUGGAUCCUCUGCUUUCAGUAGUACGGGCCCAUACUACCUUCCACAUCUAUCCGUACUUUCCUCAAGAAUUGCCUCGACUCCACCGAGUCCCUUUCACUACUGCUAUUGCUCUAUGGUACUCUCAUCCUAGGCUUGCCCUAAGGUAAUCACCAUCCUACUCUCCGCCAUCUGCUGCAUAAGAAGUCCAUGCUUUCCUUCCCUAACUAGCUUGCGAAUACUAUUACAUAUUAUUCAGACCAGAUAAUUCUUCAAAUGAGAUAUCCUACCCUACAACGGUUGGACUCAGAUGAGAGUUGCGAAAUAGAGUUAGACCUAGCAUUCUGCAAUUAUUUAGUCCUUGCAAUAUAUAACUUAACAUAUUUGUUUACUAGUUAGUGAAAGACAACUAGAACUCCUAAAAGCACCGAACAAGCAGCAUCCGGACAUCGAGUAGACAUAAUCAAGCAAAUACUAUGCAUGCUAUCAUCCUGACUAAUCUGUACUAGCAUGUAGUUCUCAUAAAGUUGAAACACAUAUAGCAGGCACAUAAGGCAUCCUCCUUAAACCCUUAGUCCUAAUCUAGCAUGCUGUUCUAAUAAAGCUAAUACUCAUAACAUAAACUUGUAUGGGUAAUUUGGGAGUACUUACUUGAGCUCGGUUGAUUGCAUGCACUACACCCUUUAGCUUUUUCUUUUUUCAAAGUUCUUUUUCAAAAUCCUUUUUGUAAAAAAUGAUUUUCUUUUGAAAAUUUCUAUACCAAUUCCUUAGUUUGAGUUCAGACACACUCGAAGUGUGCCCGAAUCCCUCAAACCAAGGCUCUGAUACCAACUUGUAACAUCCCAAAAAUACAACCCAAAAUUUUUUGUUUUUAGAACAUUAUUAAAACCAUCAUUUCAUUACCAAAGUAUAAAAUCAUAAACUACGUGUUUCAAAAUCUCACAAUAUCUAUCACAUAUCAAAUCUCAUGUCAAAUGUCAUAUCAAAAUAUUAGAGUAAAACUCUCAGUCUGAAGACCGUGGUGUGUGCCA
rnacentral:lncRNA from 1 species